rnacentral:lncRNA from 1 species
AAAUAUAUAGUCGCCCAUCUUGAUGGAAACAUCCGGGACACAAUUAUUAGAUGUCAUUUGUUUGCCCGGAGACACAACCUUCAACGGAAUAGGGAUCUUUCCCGUCACAAAUUCAUGCUUGGCAACAAAAGGUCUUGAAAUGAAAGAAAGAGAUGCACCAGUAUCAAAAAGAACUUUUGCAAGAAUAUCGUUAACAGGAAGAUUACCCAUUAUCACAUCAGUAGAUUCCUCCGCUUGAGCUGCAUUCAUCAUGUUCACCUUAGCAGACUUUGGAUUAUGCUUGACCACUGCAUUGCUGGAAGACCUGACAGGAGGAGGAGGAGGAAGACGCCUUUGGUUGAAGCACUUGUUAGCAUAGUGGCCUUUCUGCUGACAUUUGUUGCAAGUCACCUCUGAGAGUGGACGGUGAUAAGGAGCAUUGGACUUUGGAGCUUGAUUCUGAGACUUGUUCUGAUAGCCAGAGUUGGAAGAGUUGGAAGAACCAUGGCCACCUUUGUUCUUCUGCUGAUAAGGCUGACGAAACGGAGGAGGAGGAGGCAACCAGAACUUCUGUUGCUUAGCUGUCACAAGUGAGGAAGAAGAAGACUGAACUGCGUCUCUGACUCUCUUCUUAGAAGCCUCACACUUGAGCUGAGCAGCCUCUUGCUUCAGUGCCAUAUUAUAGAAUUGAUCAAACUGAGUAGGCUCAACAAGAACGAGAGCUAACUGCAGAUCCUCUUUAAGGCCACCUCUGAAGUGAUAGAUCAUGCUCUUUUCAUCAGGAACGUCUUGUUUAGCGAAGCGAGCAAGUUUCUGAAACUGAAUGUUGUAUUUGAUACACAGACAUGUUGCCUUGCUUGAGAUUGCGGAACUCCUCACGCUUGCUCUCAACAACACUUUGUGGAAUGUGGUGCGCUUUGAAGUCCCGACAGAAGUCAGUCCAAGUGAUCACACGACCUCCUCUGGAAUCUUUGUAUUGUUGAAACCAAUCAGCGGCUUGGUCCUUGAGCUGGAAAGAAGCGAACUUGACAAAGUCCUCAGGCCUGACAUUGCUACAUUCAAAAUGCUUGUUGAUGUCCACGAGCCAAUCAUCGGCAUCCGUGGCCUCGGCACAGUAGCUGAAAGACUUGGGCUGAUUUGCGAGAAACUGGUUGAGAGUGGCGAAGUGAAACUGAUUGUUGCCUUGACCUUGAUUGCCUUGAUUGCCUUGCCCUUGAGUACGUUCUUGCAAGAGUUGCAGAAUCAUCUGAGCAUUGGCAUUGGUGGCUGCCAUGAUUGCUUGCCAUGCCUUCGGAGGUGGAGGUGGUGGCGGAGGGUUCGCUUGACUCCCUUCAUUGCGAUCCGGAUUCUGACGCGUUGGCGGAGCCAUCCUGAAGAGGGUGACAUCCGUUAGCAUCUUGAUAGACAAAUAGAUAAGUAGAAUCAACGGAUAGAAAUUGCAACAUAUAGUCUUCACAAUAAACAUUCGAACGAAGAUGAACGAAUGAAUUCCGUAGUAAAUCAUCACACUUUCAUAAGUUGAGAAGCCACUUGAAAAAGAUAUGGAAUGAACAUAUGAAUUCGAAGCAACUCGAAUACCACAAUAUAAAACAAAACAAAGUAUUGGUUUGCAGAAUAAGCCGGAACAAACAUAUGAUAGAUAUUUCGUCCGAAGUUUUCGUGGUGGGGCCCACACGGGCUCAAUCGUACAGCACCAUCAUGUACAAGGCUGUGCACAUGACAUACGAAGCGUCCCCGAGUCGGCAAAGCCAUGGACUCUUUAAGACACUACGAGACCACUAUAAAAUCAACCGUGGAAAGGCGGACCACUAGACGUCGAACCCCAAUCUCAUAUCAUGCGUCUGUCGGAAAGAUAUCCUAAGGCUACUUGAAUUCCCACUUAUAAACUCCCGAAACUUUCUGGUUAUGCAAUCUGGUGUAGGGGAUACAGGGGACACAAAAUAUAUCACCCAAACUAGCAAUCCCUAGAUCCAGCUGUAUCCAUCCGUCAACACAUAACCAAGAAACCUUCGGAAAUCGUUUACCUCAACCUUCGAAAAACAUCCGUUAUACAAGUUAUGGCAAUACUCCCGAACUCCCGCCCCAGUACUGGGUGGCGUCGAGGUGAUCUCACCAACAACUGCAUAAAAGAGAUUUCGAUGUCGGCGAAACUCAGGUAUUCCAGAACUGCAACGAUAAAAUUGUGACGACAACACCUCGGAGCUCAACUCCCCGGGACACUGCCACAACCCCUAAUGUCAGGAGGCACCAAGAACAAUGUUCUCGUCACAAGACCAUCGGAACGAUUCCAAGAUACCCGCGUGAUCCUAAAUUUUUUUUUAGUGAAAUUUGAGGAGAGAAUAGUCAAAACUUCUACGUCAGGAGACCUCACCAGAGCGACGAAGGGACUGAGGAGUAAAAAGAAUCCUACUCUCCAAUAUAUAUAAUCCUAAGACUCAAAACAUUUUUGUUCUAGACUCAACAACGCCAGCGAUUCAAUCAAGCAGGGGGCUCCUAAGUCGGGGAUGGCUCUGAUUACCAACUUGUAACGCCCACGAUGCGGCUAUAUCACCCACGUGUCGAGGCACGACUUAGAGGCAUAACCGCAUAGUGGUUUUGUCGCAAGAAGGGUCAUCUUCACACAAUCCCAUGUAAUGAACAAGAAUGGGAUAAAGAGUUGGCUUACAAUCGCCACUCUCCGAUCGUCCCAACUGGGCUCCACUACUGAUCAUCAGGAAAAGACACAUAGUAACGACCACGUUCCUCGUCGAACUCCCACUUGAGAUCGACGCCAUCAUCUGCACUGGCAUCGUCGGCACCUGCAACUGUUUUGGUAGAAUCUGUGAGUCACAGGGACUCAGCAAUCUCACACCCGCGAGAUCAAGACUAUUUAAGCUUGUAGGAAAGGAUGGCGCAAAGAGGUGGAGCUGCAGCGGCAAAAGCAUAUAUGGUGGCUAACUUGCGCAAAUGAGAGCGAGAAGAGAAGCAACGGAACGGACGUCAUCUAGGAGUGACCAAGAAGUGAUCCUGAACACCUACUUACGUCAUACAUAACUCAGACCGUGUUCACUUCCCGGACUCCGCCGAGAAGAGACCAUCACGGCUACACACGCAGUUGAUGUAUUUUAAUUGGGUCAAGUGACAAGUUAUCUACAACCGGACAUUAACAAAUUCCCAUCUGCCUCAUAACCGCGGGCACGGCUUUCGAAAGAUAAUACCCUGCAGGGGUGUCCCAACUUAGCCCAUCAUAAGCUCUCACGGUCAACGAAGGAUAAACCUUCUCCCGGAAAGACCCGAUCAGUCUCGGAAUCCCGGUUUACAAGACAUUUCGACAAUGGUAAAACAAGACCAGCAAAGCUGCCCGAAUGUGCCGACAAAUCCCGAUAGGAGCUGCACAUAUCUCGUUCUCAGGGCACACCGGAUGAACACUACGUACAGCUAAAACCAAUCCUCGAGUUUCCCCAAGGUGGCGCUGCAAGUGGCUCUAGUUUGGACCAGCACUCAGAGGAACACUGGCCCGGGGGUUUAAAUAAAGAUGACCCUCGGGCUCGCGAAAACCCGGGGGAAAAGGCUUAGGUGGCAAAUGGUAAAACCAAAGUUGGGCCUUGCUGGAGGAGUUUUAUUCAAGGCGAACUGUCAAGGGGGUCCCAUAAAUCACCCAACCGUGUAAGGAACGCAAACUCAAGGAACAUAAACCCGGUAUACAGUAACUAGGGCGGCAAGAGUGGAACAAAACACCUGGCAUAAGGCCGAGCCUCCCACCCUUUACCAAAAUAUAUAGAUGCAUUAAUUAAAUAAGAGAUAUUGUGAUAUCCCAACAUAUCCAUGUUCCGACAUGGAACAAACUUCAACUUCACCUACAACUAGCAAUGCUAUAAGAGGGGCUGAGCAAAAGCGGUAACUUAGCCAAACAACGGUUUGCUAGGAAAGGAUGGUUAAGGGCUGACAUGGCUAAAAUAGGAGACAUGAUAUAGCAAGUGAUAGGUAGCGGAGCAUGGCAAUAGAGCGAACAACUAGCAAAGCAAAGAUAGAAGUGAUUUCGAGGGGUGGUCAUCUUGCCUACAAGGUUCUCAGAGUUGUCGAAAGCUUGAUCCUCGUAAGCGUACUCGACAGGUUCCUUGUUCAUGAACUCGUCUCCCGGAUCUACCCAAGACAAGAACACAAGCAAACGGAACCACAAUCAACAACGAGAAAUGCGCAAGCAACAUGAUGCAAAACAUGUAUGAUAUGCGAGAUAUGAUAUGCGAUGCAUAUGCGUGCUCCGGAAGGAAAAUGCUGAACAUGGCAGUAACUUGGCAAACCAAGCAUGCCACUGGAAAGAUGAGAUGAUUUCGGUCGAAAUCGAUAUAAAGAUCACCGGAAACGGAUGCACGGUUUGCAAAUGGCAAGCAAAACAAGAAUGACACUAAUCUGCGAUAAACAGCAAGAUAGCACUUAAAAUGCAACAAGCAACAAUGCUACAUCACCCCAACAUAGCAACAAAGCACAUGGCAGUAAUCUACAGGAGAUGCUUGACAAAAGAUGAACACUGAGCUACGGCUAGUUCACAACAUAUCAAGCUCAAACAAGCAUGGCAAAAUUGCAAAAGAUUACGGGUUCACAGACUUAGUGAAAAACUGGACAUGGCAGAAAACAGCAUCAGGUAGCAAUGUUCGGAGCACAAAAUCAACAUGCUACAGAAAACUGGACAUGACAAAGCAAGGCACGAUAGUGUCCUACUAAAUGCACAAGACAAAAGUCCCUUACUGACCAUAAGCCAAAAAGGACCAGAAGAUAUUAUGGCAAGCAUGUAAACAUAGCAAGUUUCGUUAUCAGGUUUCAGACUUGGCAGAAAACAGAGCAUGGCAGAAAUAUUAAUAUGUAGGCCUCUUUGUGAGCUUGAUUCACUCACUACAGAGCAAUGCAUGAAAACCAAGCAUACCUACAGCAAGAUGGCAUGUUUAUGAAGCUAUACAUGGCAAGAACAAUAGCAUAGCAUGUAUGGAUCAACUACAAUAAGCUUGGCAAAAUUGCAUCUCAUGUUAAGAAUCUGCCAGAAAUAUUUUAUAGCAAAAGUAGAGCAAGAUUGAAUCAUGCUAUGGCACUCCAUAAUUGCACAAAAUUGCAGGAAUGGAUCAACUACAACUAUAUCUAUAAAACAUCCUUACUGAACAUCUCCAAAAUAUGCAUGUAUCUCUCUGUAGCAUCGAGUUUACAUGGCAACAAAAUUACAGCAGACGAGGACUUGGAGAAAUUACGAAGUCCCUGAAAUCAGAAAUAUUACGGGGCCUACUUUGCAUGCUUGUGCUAGUCACCACAGAGAUCACAAAAAUACAUGGACUACACCACUGGAAAGAUGGCAUGGCAUACUUCAAAACACAUGUAGAGCUCAUGCUCAUAAGAUGCACAGAAUUAAUGAUACAAAAAUGACAAAUCUCCAAGUUCUGAUAAGAACCAGAGAAUAACAGCAACUAGCCCUCUUCCAACAGAGAUUUGGGCAUCAAGAUGACCUCUAAUGAACAUCGUGCAAUUUAAUAAAAUGAAGAGCAUCACGAGUCGAACAAUUUGACAUAUUACACGGAUGAAUCGGAGCUAUAUGCACGGAGUUAUAGCAAUACGAACAGGGGCACAUGCUAAGAAAAUCUGAGGACAGGAAAAAAAAGGGCGAGGAGAAAGUCAACGCUCACGAGAGGCUACCAGAUCGGAUCGAGGGAGAGGCCGGCUCGGGCGAUGGCGCUCGCCGGCGGGAGGAAGAGGAGGCGGCGAGGUCGAUGGGGCCGACGCCGGAGGAGGAGAGGGAGGCCGGAGGUGGCGGUCGCCGGCGGGCGCGGCGGGCACCGGAGGGAGCGGGCACCGGCGNNNNNNNNNNNNNNNNNNNNNNNNNNNNNNNNNNNNNNNNNNNNNNNNNNNNNNNNNNNNNNNNNNNNNNNNNNNNNNNNNNNNNNNNNNNNNNNNNNNNNNNNNNNNNNNNNNNNNNNNNNNNNNNNNNNNNNNNNNNNNNNNNNNNNNNNNNNNNNNNNNNNNNNNNNNNNNNNNNNNNNNNNNNNNNNNNNNNNNNNNNNNNNNNNNNNNNNNNNNNNNNNNNNNNNNNNNNNNNNNNNNNNNNNNNNNNNNNNNNNNNNNNNNNNNNNNNNNNNNNNNNNNNNNNNNNNNNNNNNNNNNNNNNNNNNNNNNNNNNNNNNNNNNNNNNNNNNNNNNNNNNNNNNNNNNNNNNNNNNNNNNNNNNNNNNNNNNNNNNNNNNNNNNNNNNNNNNNNNNNNNNNNNNNNNNNNNNNNNNNNCGAAGGGGCGGUGACACGUGGCGGCGGCGCAGGGGGCGGACGUGUCCGUCGGCAGACGUUUUCGUCCGGCGGCGCGCGGUGGAGAAACUAGGGUUUCGUCUGCGAUUUCGUUUUUCGGGAUGCCCACAUAUUUAUAGGUAGAGGGAGCUAGGAGGCUCCAAAUGAGGUGCGGUUUUCGCCCACACGAUCGUGAUCGAACGACCUAGAGCAUGGAAGAGAGUUUGGUGGGUUUUGGACUGGUUUUAGAGGGGGUUUUUGCUGGACACUCAAAUGGACUUUACGGAUUCCCGGUUAACCGUUGGAGUACCAAACGACCUCCAAAUGGAACGAAACUUGACCGGUGGACUCCGGGUGGUAUACUAGGGCCACUUGACAAGCCUCGGUCCAUUCCGAGAAAGUUUGACACCCGCACACGAAAUAAAACUAGAGGGGUGCACCGGAGGAGAUAGGAGCGCCGGAUUGCAAAACGGAUAACGGGGAAAAUGCUCGGAUGCAUGAGACGAACAUGUAUGCAAAUGCAAUGCACAUGAUGACACGAUAUGAAAAUGCAUGACAUGACAAAAUACAAAACGAAAGACAAAACCCGACAACGGAGGGAAAAUCAUAACACAUAGCCGAAAAUGGCAAGAGUCGGAGUUACAAAUAUGGCAAGUUACAUCCGGGGUGUUACAAACAGUAUGUGCUUCCAUCUACUUAUAAACGGGGUGAUGUAGAGUUUGUUGUAACAAAGCAACAAGCAUCAUGUCUGGGUUGGUCCCAUUUUUGUUCACUACUUAAUGGGAAUAGACAGCAAUACAAUAGCUUCAAUUCAACAUUUAUUUAAAACAGUACCAAUACAAGUAGCACAACAUCUCAAAGCACACUGCACAAUCAUGUGGAUGAAGGCCUGUACUGACCUUUCAUGAGACGGACAAGAUAAAAUACGAAUGUGCCAACACGAAUAGGAAAUCCAAUCUCGUUUUGUGCAGUUGCACUGAAAUCAAGCAAAGUGUUUCGCGUAGCGAAGCAAAAUGUCACAAUAGCAACAAGUUGAAUAGAUAUCCCUGUUUAAACAGAGGCAAAAAGGAAUCAAUUACUGGCUAAUAAAGGAGGAUGAAACAUGCGGCCACAAAAAUGGUAAUCCCGCCAAUCCCUAACAAGUGUUGCAGUUUUGAAAUAAGAUUCAGUAGUUAAUUCUGAGAGUGGCAUCAAUUACUGGCUUAUAAAGGGGGUGAUGCUGAAUUUUUUGUAACAAAGCAACAAGCAUCAUGUCUGGGUUGGUCCCAUUUUUGUUCACUACUUAAUGGGAAAAGACAGCAAUACAAUAGCUUCAAUUCAACAUUUAUUUAAAACAGUACCAAAACAAGUAGCACAACAUCUCAAAGCACACUGCACAUCAUGUGGUUGAGACCAAGAUUUGAAACAACUCGCCAUGAAGAAUGGAAACAAAUCUUGAUCUCCUUUUGUGCAGUUCCACCAAAAUUAAGCAAAGUCACCGGUGUGACAUUCAAGUUGAACUGCACAAAACACUCUUAAAACAUAAGUGUUUCGAGUAGCGAAGCAAAAUGUCGCAAUAGCAACAAGUUGAAUCGAUAGCCCUGUUUUAAUAGAGGCAAAAAAGGAAACAAUUACUUGCCGAUAAAAGAGGAUGAAACAAACGGUGACAGAAAGAAGCAUCUAACUUAUCUUGGAUGGAAAACAAAGUAGAACAGUAGCAUUUUUAAAACGGUUGCAUUGAUUCAUAUUAAUAGAGACAUUCUCUUGAAACAACAUUCGUUAAAAAAUGUAAUUUACUUUUAACAGUGGCAUUGCUUCAACUUUCCGGCGGCAUUCUUAGAUUAACAACAGCAAAAUAGUUGUAUGGGACAUGCCAGCACCAUGUGCGUCCACACGUAUAAAUGGGUGAUGCAGAGUAUGUAGCCAAGCAGCAUAUAUGCGCUGGUCCCAUAUUUGUUCUCUUUGAACCUUCUUCCUAUGUGAGGGCACAAAUCUAGUCCUGCACAAACUACCCGACCCCCCAGUUUCUUUCCCUUUUCAACAAAGAGAUCGGUUCCUUACAGAUGUGUGUACUGGGUUACCCCUUUUUCCCUUUUCGACCUACAAAGCGGCUGGAUAGCUAGUCUAUACUACUUUCCGCCCCUCCUUUCCUCAUUGAACCACGUCCUAGAUUCUUGCUCCAGCCCACCGCACCCUUCUUUCCUCUUUGAACCAAGACCUAGAUUCGACUACAGAUCGAAAAAGAUCCACAUGCAGCUAGAGCAAUGACGGUUUCAAAGAAACUUAUACCUUAGGGUCGUCGUGAUGUGGCAAGGUGUGCGGCGGGAGGCCGGAUCUGCCCACACUACGUACAGCAGCGAGGAAGAAGGGGUCGGUGGCCCUCCCGCACAGGCGCUGGGUGAAAGAGAACAGCGCAGCCGGCAGUGGAUUGCCUCCCUCGCCGAAGGCGAUAGAGUGAACAUUGCACUUCCUCCCCUUCCCGGUGCGACGAGAUACGGACGCCUCCUUCACCAGCUGUGAGGGGGGAGAGAGAGACAAGAGGCCAACGCAGUCUUGUUUAGAUCUGGUGAAAGAGGGUGCGAGACUGUGAAUAUAGAAAACCCUAGCAAAUGAACGCUGAGCCUCCAGCGUGUAACAUAUAUGUAGUGCGGCGAGCGUGUGGAGAGUGCAAACCCUAGCGAACAAGCGCUGAGGCUCCCGCUUAUAUAUAUAUACUACUGUACUAUGGACUGAGCUCCGGUGCCUUCACUGCACCUGCUUUUGGCUGUAUGACAGGUGAGCCAGCCACAUUUUGGGCCCACCUGUCAUAAAUACAAAGGCAGGUGCACUAAGUCAAUGAAGCUGCGUCCAUAUAGUACUCUCGUGUAUACGACUAAUAUAUAGUGGAGUGGUUUUCUUAUUCUCUCCAUAACAAUCGUUUUAAAUUGUGUAAGUACGAAACGAAACUCUUUAUUUAAUGUACAGUGAAGAAAACUAGUACUACUUCCGAUGAACUAACGAUCCACGCCCACGCGUCCUGGUCGCACUUCCUGUCCUUCACGUGUGGUACACUACCCUCCCUUAAGUGAACAACCACACAUGCGCCAAAUUAUCGGAAACGUGUGAGAGUGUGUACAAAUAAAGAAUUUUAAUUUCAAUUAUCGGAAAGGUUUGAGAGUAUUACAAAGUUUGACUUCAGUCAAAUCUAAUAUGCGGAGUAAAUAAAAAUGGAGGGCUACUACGUCCAUCCGGGUUUUUAGUCCACACCAUUUUUUAAAUCAAAGUUAAUAGCUGGACAAAUAAAAUUACAGGGGAGCUGGAGACAAAGAUGUGAGAAGGCUUAGAAAUCAAUACAAAACUUAUGCUCUUAGUACCAACGUCGAUCCUUCUUCGAGGAAACAUUUGGUUCAUAGCCAAUUGUGUGAUAAAAUUGCACCAACGUGAAAGACGAUUGCGUCUCCAACGCAACCAAGGUGAACUGACGAAGGAUAUCAUCUUUGUGCGUAACAAGCAAAGAGCACUGAUGGAAGACAUCUUGUUUUUCAUUGAAAAUCGACCAGCUUCACCAGCCGACGCAACAAGAGGCUAUAAUGGAGUAAAAAAAAUCUCUCCAUAGCAGUGGUUUUAAAUAGAAUACGCGCGUUCCCGGAAAAAAGAAACGAAAACUGGCGGACAAUUUUUUAAGGGUCUGUCUAGGACACAUCUAGAUGUGACAUAGUUAUGUCACAUCUAAGUUGAUGUCCACUCUGUUUGUGGUCUAUUUUUUUCCUAGUUUUUUUUGUUUCUUGUUGCUACAUUAUAUACUUGUGGGAGCUUAGAUGUGAUACCCUUAAAUAACAUCUAGAUGUGAAUUAGACAAACUGAUUUUCUAACGUACCAAGAAAGAAAACUCGAUCAAAAACACGCCCCCGCUUCCAGGUCGCGAGAGUCGUCGCGCACACACACAUAGACAUAGACAUGCAUAUCCGUGUUUACGUAAAAUUCCAUUUCCAUCUCCAAUCAUAUUUGUCCAACUGGCACAUUAUUUACGUUGUUAAUUAUAUACGCGACGUACAUCAUCUCUUGUUUGCGCACGUCCGGACCGCUGCCACGGCCGGUCCUGACCAACCCGAACCCUCUUCAUCACCCGCGCGUGCUUCCCGCCCGAAACGGUCAGUGCCGCAUUCAUGCCCAGCCAGAGCGGACGCGACCUCUCACUGGCGCCGGCAUUGAAGCGGCGCGCCGGCCGAGAGAGCGUCGCCCGCGCGCUUCCGGGUGCACGCGGCUGCUCCGCGUUCAAAGGUCGCAAUAGCCGGCUACAACAUGCAUGUAAAAAGUUCUUGGGAGUCCGUGCUACAGCUAGCUGUCCUCCCCCAACUUGUUAAUCUCUUCCAGUAGUGCUAGUACUCCAUGGCGCGAUCCAUCGACAAGCAGGCGGGAAAGUUAUCGUAUACUCGGUUUGCGGUGCGUGGCAUGCCGAGCGACCGUGUGGGGUCGAGCCGUGAGGAGGGUGAGACACGAACACGACAUACGUGAUUUAAACGUUGGUUUUGCUCGAUGGCGCGAUCCAACAAAAUGAAAUGUUGGUUUCUCUCCGUUUCCAUUUUUCUCCGGAAAAACGGAAACUUUCCACUCCAUUUUCAUUCCUAUUCCAGGGUUGCCCCGUUACAACAUUCCAUCAAAUACAAAGGAAAACUAACACGCAUGCUGAUGCAUCUCAAUGAUUCACAGAUCAUAGCCAAUAUUUACUUCACAACUAAAGAAAAACGUUGUGAGAGCGUGUACGAAAGAAAAACUACUGAUGGGGUCACUACGACUUAAACCCUAAACCCUAAACAUGAUUUAAUUUCCUGGCCAGGUAGAACCUAUCGAAGGAAAGACGGCUGGCACCCUCGGAUCAUACGAUGCUUUUGUGCAGUUCCACUAAAAUUGACCUGAGCAUCCCUGAUGGCAAAGAUAUUGAAGAAGUGUGAUUAGAAUAAUAGUACUGGCACUAGUUCAUGAGACAUAAACUCAUCACAAGUAGAAACCGGUAGUAGUAGAGAAAGAUCGACAUGGAGAUGGAGCUACGGCAGUGGAGCAAGCCGGCUCCAAAAGGAAGAUGGACUACCUGGGACGUCGGGCUGUAGCUAGAAGGGCGGUUGGGACGCGACAUCGGCCCAUACCGCGGUGACCCCCGAUUGGGAUGCACCGACUGUGGAUUUUCUCCCUCGCCGAAGUCGACCGCGUCUACGCAGAACAUUGUUCCCUUCCCCCAGCUGCGGGAUCAGGCCCGUCGUUCUAUGCUUGUGAAGAGAGCAACCUAAGCAAGCAGGCUUGUAGCUUAGGCUCCUGCUAGUGUAUAUAUAGUGGUUUUCUUUUUCUCUCCAUAUCAACCAUUUUAUAUUGCGUACGUGUCAUUCAAGAGUGAAAUGAUGGUUGCUUCUUCCGACUAACUUACUGUGUGAUUUGAUUGCUCCUUAGUGGCCCCUACACGUACUCCCCCUACGUGUAUGCAACAGUCACACGUACACAUGGACGCAAAAACGCGCGCGACACCCUAAUGCAUGCAUGUCCGAGCACACGACGGAACACACACGGCCACGCUCAAGUGCUCAACCUACACGUGCAUGCACACACAUACUCAGUCAGGGUGAGCUAGUGACCGUAUAAACACCGGAAUAUAUAUAUAUUGAGCGCAAUGAGCGUAUUAUGAAGUCCACUGACCAUAUUUUUACAAAUAUACAGUGACAGACAGUGUAUUUAUCUCGUUUGAAAUUAAGGCAUAUUAACCGGAGAGGAGGCAGUAUGGACUAGCAUUACUUUGUUGUGUCCCGUCAACUUACCGAACGAGGAGAAGGUUGCAGGACGGGAGAAGCUUGCGCGCGGUGGCUCGCAGGACAAAAGAAACUUUUGACUAAUGCAAGCUCUCCCUCGCUCAGGCGGUGGACGUGCAACAGUUAAUUCGGUGUCAGAUUGCCAGAAGCAUACACUAUACUACUAGUGCUAUUAUUGUUCGACUUCCCGAAUAGGCGAACAGCCAAGCGCAAAUUUUACUAGUACUACUACUAUCGUCUAUAAAGGUACGUACUAUACUAGUUCUAGGAACCGGACGGAGGAGCGUCUACACUCUUAUUAUAAUUUUAAAAUGUGAUAAAACAAUCUUCAACAUAUUUGGUUCUCUUCGAGGGUUCUCGCAUGUGAUAAUGGAAGUUGAUUGCAUGGAACACUCGCCAUAAUUCUCGCUUAAUUCUGGCUCAUAUCCUGUUACAAAUAGUAGCGCUCAGUAAUAUUUCCUCUUUUUUUGUUAUUCAGCAUGUAAACAGGUUAGCAAACCUUGCGGCGCAUCUUCGUGCGAACCGUGCUUGCUGCACUUUGAAUGUGGCCGAGAGCUGGCUUGAUGAAACACCUCGCUUCCUACUUCUUUUUUUGCGGGGUACCUCGCUUCCUAGUGACCAGUGUCUUGGCUGAUCGUCCUAAGAAUGCUUAUAUAUGAAUAAAGCUCUCUCAUUUACCCGCAAAAAAGAUUAAGCCAUAUUACCCAGAAAGGAGGGAGUAUGGACUAGCACUACUUUUUGGUGUGUCCCGUCAACUCGCAGAAUGAGGAGAAGCUUGCAGGACAAGGUGAAGCUCGCUUACGCCUUUUGAUUAAUGCAACCUACCCUCGGUGGACAUGCAUCAGUCCAUUCGGUGUCAGAUUGUCAGAGGCAUACACUGUAGUACCGAACAUGCGGAGUACCUUCAUUGUUCGACUUCACGAAGAGGCGAAGAGCCAAGCGCGGUAGUACGAGUAGUACUACUACUAGAACCGCAUGGUGGAGCUUCUGUACUCUUAUUUUUUUAUCUCUGAUAAAGUACACGUUUAUUCCGGAGAAGGGCGGAAAACGGCAGCCCAACAUGUAAUGAAUGAUAUCGAUCAACCAACCUUGCUCGAAUAUAUCUUGGCCUCCGUGCGAGCCCGUCUGUGUGUUCUCGCUCCUCGUCUCUCUCAAGGAAUGGCGGGUUGGCUCUUUGCCAUCAAUUGAGAUCGGUUUGCUCACACUCCUGUCCCACAUGUGAGUGAUAUGCCAAGAGGAGGUGCGUUGACCGACUGGCCAUACGCGUACUUGGUUUUGCACCUUCAUACUACUCCUCCCUCCGUCACAGUUUACAGGGCGCGCUUCAUUAUGAUGCAUUUCUCUCAGGCCCCUCCCGAUGCUCCACCUUGUACAGGUGCUAAGCCUUCCACGUAUGCAAAAAAUCUGAUGUGGCAAGUUAUUUAAGAGGAGAGAUAUGAGUUUGGUUACCCCAGAAAGAAACAAUGCUAAGCGCGUGGACCUAGGCAAAACAUUUAAAGAAAGGAAGCCCACCAAUACAUGAAGAGCUUUAGUUGCUAAAUCAUUAAAUGAAGCAAGCUUAGCAACCAUAAGCUAAGCACCUAUGCAUUGGGGAGUAUAGUUGCUAAGCUAUUUAGUGGUUGUUUGGCUAACAAAGAUUAUCCAUGGGAUUAUAGAGAAUGUGUUUUUAGCUGAUGUUUAGCAAAACCGGUUUUAGAAAUUAUUUUAUGUAAAACCAGUUUAUAGAAAAAUAUGUUUGGCUUACUCCUGAGUCCUGACUCCUCCCGUGACCUUCCCUCGAUAAAAUACUCUUGCCGUGACCUCCUCUUUUUGUCUUGCCAUUGGAGACGGUCCGCAAGCUCCAACAUCCAUUCCUCCUCUGUUUUCGGUCCUGAAUCCCUCGACGCCAUUACUCGCCUUCCCUUGGACCGACCCUGGACGACUCCACGCACAACUACUAGUACGUGCUUACGACCAUCGCCGGCGUCGGGUACUCGCCUGAAGUAAUCCAAGUCUCGGUGUUCUAUGUCCCAUGUACCCCAUACAUGUCAAGAGACUCGAGGGAGGCGCGGUCAUCCUUGUCCAGCAUGAGCUCGCGCGCGCCCUUGCUGACCUUGCGUUUCAGGAGCUCGCCGAGGGUGGCGUCGCCGUUGGGGCGCUCCUGGCCGCCAUCCCGUAUGUGAUCUCUGUACACCGACCAGCCAGUGACAUGCCACAGGUGACGCACAUCACCGAUGGCGUCGACACAUCAUCCUAGAUCCAGCCAACAGCUAGCGGAAUCCUGGGCGCAAACGCAGCGACGACCAUAUCGUGGCCGGAGGACUAGUACGACUGCGCGAGGAGCAUCCCUACCAGACAACGGCGUGUCGAUGCGUUCAUGGCCAUAGCCGUGGCAGGACGGCGAACGAGAGGAGUAUCAUACCAGGCAGCGGAGAUGUGACACGGCGGCGGCCAUGCCAUGCCAAGCUGGAGGACGCACGCGAGGACACCGAUUAGUUGCGAUUAAACGCAGAUUUUGAGGUUUCCAAAAACCAAGUCUUCCAAAAACGCAAAUUAGUUAGAGCAUCCAAACGAGAUUUUAUUCUGUUAGGCUCUGUUCCUGGUUUAUAGAGAAUUGGUUUUCUACGUUCCACCUAUCCAAACAACACCUUAAUGUGCUUAGUAUCUCAUCUAAGCAACCAUGCAUUGGGAGCAGCCUCAAUGCAUUUCCACCACCAGAGAGACUUUAGACGCGUUUGGUUUAAUGCUCAAUUAAUUAGGUCGUGGUAACCGCAAUCAAGUCCACAAUUUUCUCUCCAUGUACUGUACUACUACGGAGUGGAGUAAGUGCAUGCAUGUGUGUACCCGGGGUGGAAGCACUGCAUGCAUGUGUGUACGCAUUAUUCCCUCUAGUAAUAGACGCUGUGCUAUAACUAUCAAUGCUAUUUUUCAGGCCGAUCGCUAGUCGUCUUGGUCCCACAGAUUUUUUUUUUCUUUUUUCUGAAGCGCGCUGUAUAAACAGUGACGGAUGGAGUAGUAUGAGCGGAUUCAAAGAAGAGCAUAUUGAUGGUUGCUUCUUCAGAGCAACUUACAGUGGGAAAGGUGGGGCUUAUGAUUUGACUUCUCAUUACUCACUAUUAAUGCGGCGCAACGACCGGGCUGAGUCUCCCAUGCGGUUGUGCACUACCCCCUCGGUUCUUAAAUAUACUCCGGAGUAUUUGUCUUUCUAGAGAUUGCAAUGAGUGACAACUCAAAUAUUUGUCUUUUCAGAGAUUUCAAAUGGACUGGCACAUACGGAUGUAUAUAGACAUAUUUUAGAGUGUAGAUUCACUCAUUUUGCUCCGUAUGUAGUCACUUGUUGAAAUCUCUAGAAAGACGAAUAGAAUAUUUAGGAACGGAGGGAGUACACAUACGAAGCAAAAUGAGUGAAUCUACACUCUAAAAUAUGCCCGUUUGAAAUUUGUAAAAAGACAAAUAUUUAGGAAAGAAGGAGUAUAAUUUUGUGCAUGGCACAUGGACCCGGAUGAUGAAGAGGCUUCUGGCAAUGCUAUCAAGCUUCCAUCAUUUGUUUACAUAAUUGACGUACUAUACAAAUAAUUUUCCAGUGACAUGAAAUUGUACAAUGGUGUGAGCUUUCAGCUUUUGUUUCGCGUGUCUUGCCAUCGAUGCUCUUUCGGAAACAAUAAAAAACUAACUUCCUUGCUAAUGCAUGUCAAUUAUUAGCAGAUCAGAGCUAAUAAUUACAUCUCAACUGAAGACAGAGUUGUGAGAAGGUGUUAAAUUAAAAUUGAUCCAUGCUUUCAUUGGCAGCAACGUCCCCCCAGCUCUGUCUAAAUCAACAAGGCAUGUUGGGAAAAAAAGUAGCUGUCUAGAGCAUGCAACAUUCCGAUCAUUUUGUGCAGUUCCACUAAAAUAGAGCUGAGCGUCCCUGUUCCAAAUCGGGACGUGCUGCCUCGGCGCCGUCAAACGGAGAAAUGAUGCACUUCAUCCCUUUCCCCCGGCGGACGGGAUGCAGCCGGAUCAGUGACCAACGGUGAGAGAGAGAGAGGCCACCACACUCCCUUUCCCCUGGCGGACGGGAUGCGGCCGGAUCAGUGACCAACGGUGAGAGAGAGAGAGGCCACCACAACCUUGUGUGAGAUACUCUGAAGAGCGACAAACCAGGCAGGCAGGCUCCAUUGUAUAUAGUGAGCGGACUACCUUUUUCUCCAUAAAAAUCGUUUUAUAUUCUGUGUACGUGCCAUUGAGCGCUAUAACUUUAUUUAAAAAUAACGCGGCAACGCAUCAAGUCGAACUUUGUUUCAUGCACGCGUGGUACACGACCUCCCUAGGUAAACAACCGCUACAGGCGUUCAAAUUAUCACGUGGGCUGCCAUUUCGUAAAGAAAUGAGCUCCACCGUGUACCCGCGCGGGUGUGGCUGGGCACGAAGCGUGAGUACGUGCAUGGUGCACCUAUUCUCUUCUUGUAUAUGUACACCACCUACGUGGGGUUGUGUGAGAGAGAUACAAACCUAGAGAGAUAUAGUGUGUGGGUUCUNNNNNNNNNNNNNNNNNNNNNNNNNNNNNNNNNNNNNNNNNNNNNNNNNNNNNNNNNNNNNNNNNNNNNNNNNNNNNNNNNNNNNNNNNNNNNNNNNNNNNNNNNNNNNNNNNNNNNNNNNNNNNNNGCGCGCGCGAUCGAUAAAGAGUGCCAUCGAAUUUGUGUGUGCCCACGUCAAAGAUAUAGAGUGGCUGGCCUACUGGAACGUGAGAUGGGACAUGUGCAGUUUGUCUCUGUGGCAUGGAUACCUACCUGCAGCGCUCGACUAUCGGUGUGUGGUGGGGGAAGAGGGAGGCCCAAUUAACUAUAGAGGUACAAUGGCUGGUAUAUGUGUGGAGGAGGAGAGAGGCCUACCUCAUGUAUUAAGGAGAUCGAUUUGCCUCAUGUAUUAAGGGAGAUCGAUCGGCAUCCAUGCAUAUGUGCAGGAGAGGAAUAAGGUUGGGAGAGAGACAGAGCUAGAGUGUUGGAGGGGGUGGUAGUGGAGUUGCUUCUAACAAAUGGUGGGAUAGGCUUGCUAGACAAACGGAGGGCACGCCCGCAAUAUCAAUAAGAGAGGAGAUGGCUGCUUGUUGUCUGUGCACGUGCGUGUGAGAGACGGGUCAGGAGGCAUGCACGAAUAAUGAGGGGGGACGAUGUGGCUAUGGUAAGCAGACGUAACUACAUAGGAAGAUCAAUCGCCCUUUGUUAGAGAAAGGGGAGACAUAACUUGUGAGGUACGUCGAUCGAUGGGGGGGUAGUUAAAGUCGAUCUAGGUAUAUGUUGGGAGAUCGAUCGGUAUACAUGCAUGUGUGUGUUAGAAGCAAAUGAGGCACGAGGAGAAGGAUAGAGAAAGAGGGAUGCAUGUAGGAGGUGGUACGAGAGGCAUACUAUAUCGAGGGGGAGGAGUGUGCGAGUACGAGAACGAUGAAAAGAGUGGUGGGAGUGAGGCAUGGACGGUGACAAGGGAAGAGGGGAAGCUUGUGUUUGUGCUAGGCACACCUGGCUAGAGAGGCAUAUCGAUCGAUGUGUGCCGUAAAGAAGGAGCUGGGGGGCCUACACACACCGUGGGUGAAAGACCUAAAGUGAAAAGACGAAUUUGCGUGAUGGAGCUAGAGAAUGCUGAGGGAGGGUGAGAGGGAUGCGGGCGUGUGCAUGCACAAGAGAAAGUUAGCGCUAGCUACAAAGAUAAGAGGGUUGUGUGGGUGUAAAAGACGAAUAGAGAUCAUAUAUACUUCACUAUAAAAAGUGAAUUCGGAUAUUUGAAGAAUUUAUCAUAGUGUUUCAAAUCGACGCAUGUGUGAAUAUAUAUAACGGUGAUACACAUGGUGUGGUUAUGAACAUGUUAUACUACAUUUAAUAUAUUUUAUCUCUACUCUUAUGAAAAAACGGAGUUGUUGAUGAUGGUGUGCCUGCCAUCCUGCAUUAUAGGCCGUCUGAUUUAUAUCUGGCGGAUAGCAAGGAAACUAUGAUGGUUGAAGUUGGCAACAAUCAUGAUUGUAGAUUCUUAUUGAAAUAGAGAAACGAAUUCAAAUUUACUUCGAAUUGCAGCGGUAGUAUAGACAUUUGGAAUGCACUAAAAUGUUGGUAUGAGUAGGUUACAUGCAUUAUACAGCAAGCGAAAAAAAUUAAUCAAACAUAACAUGGAUUCAUACUCCCUCCUUCCAUCUAUAUAGGGCGUAAUGAGAUUUUUAAGACCGCCUUUGACUAUUGACAAGAUUAAUAGUACAUGACAUGCACAAUGUGAAAAUUAUAUCAUUGAAAGAACCUUUCACAGACGAAUUUAACGGUGUGCUUUGUGUAAGUUGCAUGUCAUAUAUCAUUUCUCUAAUAUUUGGUCAAAAUUAGCAUCGAAAAACGCAUUAGGCCCUAUAUAGAUGGAAGGAGGGAGUAGCUUUGAAUAGCAUUUGUAUAGUAAAACGGGGCAAGACUCUCUCUUUGUGUGGUGUGAAUAGUUUUCUCUUUGGUUGAGGGAAGUGCGAAUUGAUUUGGUAUGUACAAGUACAAUAUUACUACACGUUAGGCUUGUCCCUAAAAUUCAACCCGCAUCUUGUUAUAUCCCGAAAAUUCAGAUAUCGUGCUCCCAAAACUGGCGCCUUCACAACCCGCGCCUUGCUAUCCCGAAAUUACAACGCGCGCCAAAACUCCCUCUAGCUGCCAAAUCCCGACACGCGAAAUCCCCCUUCUAACCCUGAGCCCAAAGGGCCGCUAGUUCAAAUCGAUGGGGGGUACUUUUGUAACACACCCUACAUUUUGGACAAGCGCGUCCCUAAGUCAUGCUUCACCCCCUCCCAUCGCCCCCUUUUCGCCAUUCGAAAUCCCAGGCCGCCAUAACCUCUCCGCUCCAGCUGCGAAACCCCACCCUCCUCCGUCCGCCACGUCACCUCUGCCCAGCCGGAGCCUCUUCCCCGACGACAUCGUCCACCGCAACAGCUCGACGUCCCUCGUCCACCUCCCCGAAUGAGGAUCCGUCGUCCAUCUCGCCGUCCCGCCGGUUCAGCCGCCCUGUCCUCCACCUCCAAGGAGCUGCUCCGACGAUCGCCUUGUCUAUCGCGGCUGCUCCAUCCCCACAGCGCCGCCUUAACCUGCUCCACCGGAACCGCAGCAUCCUCACUGACUCCUCGGACGAAGCCGAGGCCUACUCGGCGCCACCAAAGAGGUUGUACACUCAUCACAUCGCACCUUCUCCUUAACUCGACCUCCCGGCGCCGACGGUGCUCCAUCCCGCACCCCAUGGAGCGGCUACCUUGAAGCCGGUGCCGCGGGCGACAUCUCCACGGCGGCUCUCCCCCAGUGCGAGGCCCCUUCGGCGGCGGCGUCCAUACCAGCCGGAUCUGCUGCUGCUGCUCUGGCUCUCACUCGCUCGCUCGCGCUGCUGCAGUUGCUCCGGCUCUCACUCGAUCGCUCGCUCGCCCAGUUGUUGCUACUGCUCUCCCCCUUGCCCAUGCUGCUGCUCUGCUCCGAUUAAGCCACACUUCAGUCGACUGAAUCAACUUUUGGGUUAGUCGAUUUUCAGGGGUUGGGGGGCUCGUCGGAGUUAAGGAAGAACCACCCGCAGUGGGGACGGGGGCUCGCCGGAGAGGUACCGCACUAUCUAUCUUAGGGUUCAGGGUGGGGGCGGGGGGCCUAGAGGGCUGGCCGGGGCGAGUUGUUUCGGGGCGGCGAGGCGGCGCUGGGGCUGGCGGUUCGGCCGGUGGUGGCUGGCGGCUCAGGGGGGUACAGGUUGAAGAUGAACUGCAGGCCCUCCCUAAACUACAUGUCAAGUGCCUCUCUGCUACCAUUGCGUUCAGUUUCGACAGUAGCAUUCAGAUUCCACAGUAAGUUUCAGUUUUGACAGUUAAGUUCAGAGUCAACAGUUUUUACCUCAUCUGUUGUAGUCAGGUGGUUUUUGGUGAUGUUAAUUUUACAUCCAUUUUACAUCAUCUAUUGGAGAUGCUAUUAGAAUCCCACUUGAGAUUGACGAUGUCUGUCUUGUGCUGCUUCAGCCUUGACGUCAUACGGCUCACCGGAGCUGCUCCAACGACAGAAUGAUCCAUCACAACAGAGCAGUGCCCUGGACGCCGUCUACAGAUUCCUCAGAUCUUCCUCCACACCUCCGACAGCCACCUCUGCCUCAACUGCUUCAGCGACCAACCCAAUGAUGCUGAGGUCGACACGGCUACGACAAAGAGGUUGUACACUUGUUGCAUCACUUAUUACUAUACAUUCACGUCGAUCCAUUCGGGCUAUUUUGGUUCAACAAAAAAACGUCGAUCUUCCACUGGUUGUUACCAUCGCUCUAAAUUUCUGCAUGCUCUCCUUACAUAAUCUCACCAUAUUUUUUUCGUAUGCAUGUCAGAUAUUGUACACAGUCAUGCUGAACAUGUAGAGAAAAAGAGAAGAGUUUUGCACGGCAAUACAAUGUCAUGCAGACAUCGCUCCAUAGUGGGUUCAAUGGCAAACCCUCCCCACCCCUCUCCAGAUUGUAAUCCAGAGGAAUAUAUCUGUUCUGAGGCGGAUUCAGACGCCGCUGACCACUCCUAUUUACCCCCCAAGGUGUUUGCUCUACCUUGGCAUGAUGAUGUUAGUCAUAUCAUGCAUAUGUUGCCUUGCAGUGCCUACUUUUGACAUCAUAUAUGUCAUCUGCUUAGGUUUAGACAUGUUCUGUAAUGCCACCUGUUUAGUUUCUAUAUCAUAUAUGGGAAUUAUGCAAUCUCAUGUCUUUUAGCCAGCCAUAAUAUAUGUGAAAUGUGCAAUGCCAUCCUGUUUAACCAGGCAUCAUAUAUUUGAAUGAUAUCUUGCCCAUCCUUUUCUUCAUUACAUUUCCAUUUGUCGACCAUGUUUGUACAUUAAACUACUCUUUCUGUGAAUCAGCCAUUUGGGUGGGAGAUGGAAAAAUCUGGAGUGAAAACAAGGCCUUCAGAGCAGACAGUGCUACCUGUCGAAGCAGAUCUCUUGUUGGGUCCCGAUAGCUCCUCAGAGAUGGAGAGACAGAUGACCAGUCCUAUUCCCCAACUGAGGUGUAUGCUCUAACUUGGCAUGGUUAUACUGCUCAUAUCAUGCAUACGGUGUCUUGCAUUGCAUAGUUUAGACAUCAUAUACACAAUAUUCAACACCAUGUUCUUAGUUCAGACAUCACAUCGAAUGCCCUCUGUUUAGCAUAUAUAUCACAUAUGUAAAUUAAAUGAUGCGAUCCUGAUUACUUAGAUAACAUGUAGGUGAAUUAUGUCAUGCGAUCCUAUUUAGUUAUUCAUCAUAUCUUUGAAUUAUGUUAUGCUAUGCUAUCCAGUUUAGAUAGACAUCAUAUAUGUGAAAUUAUGUCAUGCUAUCCGUUUUAGUUAAACAAUAUACAUGUCAACUAUUUCAUGCCCUCUUUUUUCCACACUAUCUAUUGCAUCUGUCUCUCAUACAAUGUCUGUACAUUCAACUAUGUUUCCUGUUUAUCAGCCAUUUGAAUUGGAGCGGGUGAUGCCAGUAUCUAGCGGACUUAAAACACGGUCUUCAAAUAAUACAUAAUACAGUGCUACCUCUUGGUGGAGAUAGCACCCCGGUUGUACAUGCACAAGAACCAGCCCUACCACACAUAACCCAAACUCUCGCAGAUUGUACCCCUACUACGAUGGACAGAGAACCAGCUUCACCCAAUCUAACCCCAACCCCAGCCGAUAGUAACCCAGUUCCUGUUGACACAACACCAUCUCCACCACAGAGCUCCCAAACAAGAGCAGUUAGUAAGGCAGCUCCAGUGCCCAAAGGGCCAGUACUAUCACGGCGAACCCCAACUCCACCAGUUAGUACGCCUAUUCCGGUGGAGGAAGCACAACCAGCUAGUCGUAGUUUAGCAUCUAUCGCAUUUGAUGUUGUUAAAUCGUAUGUGCGUAUCUUCCCAUCUUGGAAAUAUCAUACUGAAGAUGAAGGAAAAUGCCAGUUGCAGGUGUUUGUCCAGGAGUUAUGUGUAAGUAAUGUUAUUCAUGGCAAUUACUUUGCUUCGUCCCAUACAUCCUACCUCCAUGAUGGUUAUAAUACAGCAAAUUUUCCCAUUUUUCUCUAUAGAGAAGGACCGAUUUGGAAACUCGGGAUGAGGUAACCUGUGUUAAUACCUCUGCUAUCUUCAAGAAUGCUUGGUGGCAGUAUCGGAAUUACCUGAAGAAAACGUACUUCACCGGCAAAGAAACUCAUCAAAUUCCCUUACGUUCUCGUGAGACACAUUUACUGGACGAUGACUGGGAACGCCUUGUUCUGUACUGGUCCUGAACCAAGAAUGUGGUAAGGUCUAUGAGCUCAUUUUCUAUUUUUAAAUAUUAUAUUCUUGCGUCUUACUGUACUCUGUUCAUGUAGAACAAGUGCCUAAACCUGAAGAACAACUGUUCUAAUUUAAGAUUCCAUUGCUAUCAUAGUUCAAAAAAGCGCUAGGCGUUAAUUGUGCGUUUUGCCACCGCCUUGCGCUUUAAUGACCAAAGCGCAUGCUUAUGCGCAGUUAUGCACAGAUUAUGCGUAGUUAUGCGCAAUGCGUUUUGCCAAUGCCUAGAGCCUAGGCGCGCUUAAGCGCUCGCUUAGGCGCGCCUUUUUUUAACUAUGAUUGCUUUGCUCUUGUAUCACUGUAUUUACUCAUACAAACUUACUUUUAAAUUGAAGGAUCCAAUCGAAACUCCAAUGGCACAGCAGGUAUGUUCACGCAUGUUUCUUUAACAGGUUUGCUCUUAUCAAUAGCUCUGUUGAUUUCAAUUUCAAUUGUGUAUACAGUUGAAUUUCAUAUCAUGCACAUUACUAGCAUCACAACAGAGCCAAUAGUGUUGUUGUACAUGUAGACCCAUGGUACCCAUCUGAAAUCUUGUUGUGCCGUGUAGUUUCCCACGCAUUCUUUCACUGCUGCUUUGUCUUGAAUCGAUAUGAUUUGAACCGUGUCUCUAUUUUGAUUUGGCAAGACAAUGCAGUGACCAUAGGACAUAGAUAUAUGUUUGUUUGAUGCUUUUAUUAUGUACUAGUACUUGGCAAUAGAAGACUUGGUAGUUUAAUCCUUCCACCUUACUAAUGAACUGGUUCACCGAAAUGAGUUUCAUAUACUAGUACAUGCUAAACUUGUUAUGUGUCUGCUUGUUUCUUCUUUUAGAAUGCUGACAGAAUAUUGGGGAAGAGUGCCUUAUUAAGCAAUGGUAAAGGAAGUAAUGCAGAUAAGGUUCAGGAUAGUGACACAUCCUUGUUGGUCUCCAACAAAGCUGAUAAAACAACUAAGGAAGACUAUCUUGAAGACAGCGAGACAACCCCAAAGUCCUGUCUUGGUUUAGUGUUCGAGUUACUGGCCACUACCGCUUGCACAAGCUAUUCAAACUCACUGUCUGAAUCAGUUCGGUUUCUUGAGUCUCAACUACAAGCUGAAAGACAUCGAUCAGCUGUGCUGUGACAAGAAGCGGAAGGACUACGGAAGUCCCUGGAGCAUUCAGAUGCAUACUUUCUGGUGCAACAGCAAGCGUUGGAGGAUUUUAGCGCCAAACAGGACAAAGCUAAUCAGCUUGCUAAGCUUAUUGCCAGCAUGGUGGAUACCCAGGAUAACGUUUCUUGAGAUCUUCUAAAGUUGUUUCAGUUAUGCUCUUGUUUUGCUGCCGCGUUUAUUUGCACUGGUGGCCAAUUUUGACGGCCAGUGUAUGUAAUGUGCUACUUUGUUCCCUAUAUUUGCACUGGUGGCGAACUUUGAUGCCCAGUGGAUGUAAUAUGUGUAAUAGCGGUAAUAGGCUAGCGUUAAUUGCUUGCUUAUUUAUUUCCUUAUUGUCUUGUUUAGUUGUUUGCUUGUAGUCACUGCAGUUCUUUUUCUGUUUUUUCUAGUGGCCACAAUAGCCUAUUUUUGGUAACUAGGCCAAAAUAAUCAUGGCAACACACGGACUGUUGUAACCAUGGGCCUCCUGCAGGCUGUGAUCCAUGGGCCUUCGUCCGGCCGUAGGAUCCAUCGGCCUUCUAUACGGGCCUUAGGGUCCAUGGGCCUUCUACGGGCCGUAGGGUCCAUGGGCCUUCUACGGGCCGUACGAUCCAUGGGCCUUCUACGGGCCGUACUAUCCAUGGGCCUCAUACGGGCCGUAGGAUCCAUGGGCCUUCUACGGGGCGUAUCAUCAUUUCACCAAUCAUGGGUCGUACUAUUCAUGGACCAUAACGGGCCGUUAAUAGGCCGUAUUUGAUAACUCUAUGAAAAUAGCCCAACGGGUUUUUUGACAUGAAAACGGCCCAACGUAUUAACGGUUCGCAAACGGGCCGACUGUAACGACGGGCUGAAUUUGGCCCACAAGCAGAAAAUGACAGUAACGGGCCAUAUGUAACCGAAUGCUGCAAAUGAGGCCAAGAAUCAAUGGGCCAUGAGAAGGCCGAAAGAUAACUUGGGCUGGAAACGGCCCAAUGGAAUAACGGGCCGUUAAUGGGUAUAAAGUGAUACACUGUUCAUUACGGGCCAGUUUCACCACGGGCCGUUAAUGGGCCAAGAGUUACAAAGGUCCUCAUAUGGGCUGAAAGAAGUCAUGGGCCACACAUGGGCCGGAAGUUAAUACGGGCUGAAUCAUAUUGGACGGCCCAGAUGACGCUACUGGGCCUAAUUCGGAUAGGGCGUAACGGGCCCUGGGUUAGCGGGCUGUAAAUGGGCUAUAUGCGAACAGGCCGUUAACAGGCUUUCCGUGGGCCGGCCUGCCACCUUUUGACCAAGUCAAACGGGCCGACCUUUUCACAGGAAUGGGCCUCUGUUGGGCCAUGCCACGUGUCGCCGUAUCAUAGGCGCCUUCGGUCCAAUGAGCAGAUGACAUCUGUCCCAACGGUGAGCCAACACGUGUUUCCUCCAGCCAAUGAUGAUUUUACACGUGGAAAAUCCCCAUUGGUCGGGGCUGUUAACGGGUUAUCGGAUCCAAAACCCGACCCGAUAGCUUACCGACGUUCCGUUACGGUGGAUGCCACGUGUCGGUCACCCUUGACGAAAGCACUUCUGUGACGCGCGAUUUAUCGUCAUGGAAGUGGACACUUCCGUGAUGAUAAUUUUGGUAAUGUCAUGGAACACUUCUACGACAGCACAGGUAUGACUAUCUUGAUUCUGUCAUAAAUUUGUCAUGGAUGUACAUGCAUGACAAAAAGCGCGACCUACUGUGACAAACACGUAUCAUCACGGAAGUGUAUUUUUUUUGUAGUGCGAGUUCUUGGUAUUUGAUCCGAGUCUGGCCAUUGGCCUAUACACACUAACCAACUAGGCGGGAACAGUUAUGGGCACUCGACGUCGUGGUAUCAGCCGAAGCCUUCUUGACGUCAGCGACCGAGCGGCGCGCGCCGGGUUGGACCGCGUAACGCAACUUCCUUUGUAAUGGAGGUUGCUAGGUCUGCUCACCGGCCGCCCACGCAACAUGCAGGUGUGCAAUGUGCGACGGGCCCAGCCCCUGCGCCACAGGAUUUAGACCGGCGUGCUGACCUCUCUGUUGUGCCUAGGUGGGGCUGCGACGUGUUGAUCUUCCGAGGCCGGGCAUGACCCAGGAAAGUGUGUCCGGCCAAAGGGGAUCGAGCGUGUUGGGUUAUGUGGUGCACCCCUGCAGGGAAGUUUAUCUAUUCGAAUAGCCGUGUCCCUCGGUAAAAGGAUGACCCGGAGUUGUACCUUGACCUUAUGACAACUAGAGCCGGAUACUUAAUAAACACACCCUUCCAAGUGCCAGAUACAACCCGGUGAUCGCUCUCUCACAGGUCGACGAGGAGAGGAUUGUCAGGUAGGAUUAUGCUAUGCGAUGCUACUUGGUGAACUUACCAUCUACUCUCUUCUACAUGCUGCAAGAUGGAGGUUGCCAGAAGCGUAGUCUUCGAUAGGAUUAGCUAUCCCCCUCUUAUUCUGGCAUUCUGCAGUUCAGUCCACCGAUAUUGCCCCUUUACACAGAUACCCAUGCAUAUGUAGUGUAGAUCCUUGCUUGCGAGUACUUUGGAUGAGUACUCACGGUUGCCUUUCUCCCUCUUUUCCCCUUUCCAUUCUACCUGGUUGUCGCAACCAGACGCUGGAGCCCAAGAGCCAGACGCCACCGUCGACGACGACUCCUACUACACCGGAGGUGCCUACUACUACGUGCAGGCCGCUGACGACGACCAGGAGUAGUUUAGGAGGAUCCCAGGCAGGAGGCCUGCGCCUCUUUCGAUCUGUAUCCCAGUUUGUGCUAUCCUUCUUAAGGCACACUUGUUUACUAAUGUCUGUACAUAGAUAUUGUUGCUUCCGCUGACUCGUCUAUGAUCGAGCACUUGUAUUUGAGCCCUCGAGGCCCCUGGCUUGUAUUAUGAUGCUUGUAUGACUUAUUUUACUUUUAGAGUUGUGUUGUGAUAUCUUCCCGUGAGUCCCUGAUCUUGAUAGUACACAUUUGCGUGUAUGAUUAGUGUACGAUUGAAUCGGGGGCGUCACAAUAUGGCUCCAGAUAGUUGACUUGCGGACGGAAUGGGGCUGUUGGCUUGCCGUUCUUGGGACACUAUCUGGCGUAAUGUCCGGUUUGCCCACAACUGAAACAUGAAUUGUUGCGCUGACAAUCUUCACGUAUCGGGCUGGUCACGAUAUUCUUGACUUGAGUGGUGGUCUUGUUGACAUUUUGCUGCCAGUUGGGUUUGUACUCAACCUGAGUCUGUUGCCACGUACGAGCCUUCUGCACGGGUUGCAUAUCCUUCUUAGGCUCUAAUUUGCGCUUGUGGUAAUUAUUAGCUGGCCUGUUGUCGUGCAUGAGCUUGUGUUCCCGUUCUGCGAUGAGAGUCUUGUUCACCAAAGUUUGGAAGUCCGGAAAAUCAAACAUGCUGAGAGUGCACCUGAGAUGCUGAUUCAGUCCUCCAAGAAAUCUGUCGACCUUCCGUUCUUCGGUGGCCACAUCAUAGAGGGAAUAGCGGGCCAAAUGGUUGAAUUUAUUCAGGUACUCACUGACUGACAUGCUUCCCUGAGUGAGAGAGAGGAAUUCGCGUUGCUUGAUUUUCAUAAUUCCGGAGGGAAUAUGGUACUUGCGGAAAUGAUCCUUGAAUUUAGUCCAAGUAAUUUCCUCGUCCGCGGGCCACAUGGCCUUAGCAUUAUCCCACCAUACUGCGGCAGCUCCUUCAAGAUAAUGCGUUGCGGAAGGAACCUUGUCUCCUUCUUCAGUGCGAGCAAUUUCCAGUUUCUUCUCAAUAGUCCUUAACCAAUCAUCAGCGUCCAAUGGAUCAAUAACUUGACUGAAACUGGGAGGUUUGGUUCGCUGAAAAUCUGACAGCUUGGAGUAAUGACCAUUCUGAUGUCCAUUCUGCCCAACCAUAACUUGCACACUUUUCAGUAGUUCCAUUAGAUUGUUGUUCCUUCUUUCUUCAAACAUUCACAUGAUUUGCUCAGUAGAAGGCGGAUGUGGCGGUGGAGGCGGAGGUGGCUGAUACGGCUUGGGGGAAUGUCCUGCAUGUCUUGCGGAGCGACGAACAGGGACAUCCUCACAAGCUUGGCUGCUCUUGCCUCCCCGUGGCAUCCUAUUAUUUAUUUUCCCAAUGCAAAGCAACCGCGAUGAGAAAUAUCCAAAAAUGGGAGGAAGGCCAGUGACAAAACCAGAAGAAAACAGCGAAAGAAACCAAUGCAAAUAAAAGACAGUUCCAACAUAAUUAUACAUAGACUCAACAUGAAAGUUAAACAUCAUGACAAGGUCACUACCCUCAUACAUGAAACUAAGCAUCAUAACACGUGCGUCUACAUCCAUACAUCAUACUCAUGCCAAUGAAGAUACUCUAGCGAUCUACUGCUCGGAUGGUGCUGCUGCGGGCUCCUCUCCUGAGCCGGACCCAGAUCCUGAACUGAUAGUGGUGACUUCCGGGUUAAGAGAGACGUGACGACGCUGCCUCGAGGACUCUCCCUUAGGGGCAGGUGCGGGAUGGGAUCUAAGCAUAGGAGCUACAGCAGUAGCGACAAGGGAAGCCCACGUAGCAGGAGCACUGCGAGGGGUUACUGCCAAAGGGGUAGUGGUACUCUGAGUGGUGGCAGAGGCUGGAGGAACGUAUGGAGUGAAACCGACAAUAGGGAGAGGGUUCCUAUUUCGAGCAGCGGCGAGAGCUAUCCAGGCACGAGUUAGCUCCCGAGCUAGCUCGUAGUUCAGGAGAUAAGUGGCAGUGAUCUAAUGGGAAAGGUGGCUAGCAGGACGAUCCCACGCCGGAUUAAUCAAAGGAAAGCGGAUACGUCCAUUCUCGUGCAGAGAUGGGUAGUAAAAGAAACCUGGGUGGGUGUGCAUGCGAACCUCGUUGUAGCACAAGUCUACAAGAGCAUCGAUUGCAGCAAACUGGACCGCCUGAGACGGCGUAGAAGCGAGACCACCCUUAGUAGAAUGUGUUGGAAAUAUGCCCUAGAGGCAAUAAUAAAAUGGUUAUUAUUGUAUUUACUUGUUCAUGAUAAUUGUCUGUUGUUCAUGCUAUAAUUGUAUUAACUGGAAACCGUAAUACAUGUGUGAAUACAUAGACCACAACAUGUCCCUAGUAAGCCUCUAGUUGACUAGCUCGUUGAUCAAUAGAUGGUUAUGGUUUCCUGACCAUGGACAUUGGAUGUCAUUGAUAACGGGAUCACAUCAUUAGGAGAAUGAUGUGAUGGACAAGACCCAAUCCUAAGCAUAGCACAAGAUCGUGUAGUUCGUUUGCUAGAGCUUUUCUAAUGUUAAGUAUCAUUUCCUUAGACCAUGAGAUUGUGCAACUCCCGGAUACCAUAGGAGUGCUUUGGGUGUGCCAAACGUCACAACGUAACUGGGUGGCUAUAAAGGUGCACUAUGGGUAUCUCCGAAAGUGUCUGUUGGGUUGGCACGAAUGGAGACUGGGAUUUGUCACUCCGUAUGACGGAGAGGUAUCUCUGGGCCCACUCGGUAAUGCAUCAUCAUAAUGAGCUCAAUGUGACCAAGUGUUUGGUCACGGGAUCAUGCAUUACGGUACGACUAAAGUGACUUGCCGGUAACGAGAUUGAACAAGGUAUUGGGAUACCGACGAUGAAUCUCGGGCAAGUAAUGUACCGAUUGACAAAGGGAAUUGUAUACGGGAUUGAUUGAAUCCUUGACAUCGUGGUUCAUCUAAUGAGAUCAUCGUGGAACAUGUGGGAGCCAACAUGGGUAUCCAGAUCCCGCUGUUGGUUAUUGACCGGAGAGUCGUCUCGGUCAUGUCUGCAUGUCUCCCGAACCCGUAGGGUCUACACACUUAAGGUUCGGUGACGCUAGAGUUGUAGAGAUAUUAGUAUGCGGUUAACCGAAAGUUGUUCGGAGUCCCGGAUGAGAUCCCGGACGUCACGAGGAGUUCCGGAAUGGUCCGGAGGUAAAGAUUUAUAUAUGGGAAGUCCCAUUUUGGCCACCGGAAAAUGUUCGGGAUUUUUCGGUAUUGUACCGGGAAGGUUCUAGAAGGUUCCGAAGUGGGGCCCACCUGCAUGGGGGACCCACAUGAACGUGGGUAGUGGGGGCAAGGCCCCACACCCCUGGUCAAGGCGCACCAAGAUCCUACCUUAGAAGGAAUAAGAUCAUAUCCCGAAGGGAUAAGAUCAAGAUCCCUAAAGAAGGGGGAUAACAAUCGGUGGGGAAGGGAAAUGAUGGGAUUUCUUUCCCCCACCUUUGCCAACGCCCCAAUGGACUUGGAGGGCAAGAAACCAGCCCCCUCCACCCCUAUAUAUAGUGGGGAGGCACAUGGGAGCAGCACCCCAAGCCCUGGCGCCUCCCUUCCUCCCGUGACACCUCUUCCUCCCCGCUUGCGCUUGGCGAAGCCCUGCCGGGAUCCCGCUACUUCCACCACCAUGCCGUCGUGCUGCUGGAUCUCCAUCAACUUCUCCUCCCCCCUUGCUGGAUCUAGAAGGAGGAGACGUCCCUGCUCCGUACGUGUGUUGAACGCGGAGGUGCCGUCCCUUCAGCGCUAGGAUCAUCGGUGAUUUGGAUCACGACGAGUACGACUCCAUCAACCCCGUUCUCUUGAACGCUUCCGCUCACGAUCUACAAGGGUAUGUAGAUGCACUCCUCCCCUCUCGUUGCUAGCAUCUCCUAGAUUGAUCUUGGUGACACGUAGGAAAAUUUUGAAUUUCUGCUACGUUCCCCAAAGUGGUAUCAGAGCCAGGUCUAUGCGUAGAUUCUAUGCACGAGUAGAACACAAAGUAGUUGUGGGCGAUGAUUUGUUCAAUUUGCUUGCCAUUACUAGUCUUAUCUUGAUUCGGCGGCAUUGUGGGAUGAAGCGGCCCGGACCGACCUUACACGUACUCUUACGUGAGACAGGUUCCACCGACUGACAUGCACUUGAUGCAUAAGGUGGCUAGCGGGUGUCUGUCUCUCCCACUUUAGUCGGAUCGGAUUCGAUGAAGAGGGUCCUUAUGAAGGGUAAAUAGCAAUUGGCAUAUCACCGUUGUGGCUUUUGCGUAGGUAAGAAACGUUCUUGCUAGAAACCCAUAGCAGCCACGUAAAACAUGCAACAACAAUUAGAGGACGUCUAACUUGUUUUUGCAGGGUAUGCUAUGUGAUGUGAUAUGGCCAAAAGGAUGUGAUGAAUGAUAUAUGUGAUGUAUGAGAUUGAUCAUGUUCUUGUAAUAGGAAUCACGACUUGCAUGUCGAUGAGUAUGACAACCGGCAGGAGCCAUAGGAGUUGUCUUAAUUUAUUGUAUGACUUGCGUGUCAAUGAAAAACGCCAUGUAAUUACUUUACUUUAUUGCUAACCGUUAGCCAUAGUAGUAGAAGUAAUAGUUGGUGAGACAACUUCAUGAAGACACGAUGAUGGAGAUCAUGAUGAUGGAGAUGAUGGUGUCAUGCCGGUGACGAAGGUGAUCAUGCCGCGCCUCGAAGAUGGAGAUCAAAAGGAGCAAGAUGAUAUUGGCCAUAUCAUGUCACUUUAUGAUUUGCAUGUGAUGUUUGUCAUGUUUACAUCUUAUUUGCUUAGAACGACGGUAGCAUAAAUAAGAUGAUCCCUCACUAAAAUUUCAAGAGAUGUGUUCCCCCUAACUGUGCACCGUUGCGAAGGUUCGUUGUUUCGAAGCACCACGUGAUGAUCGGGUGUGAUAGAUUCUAACGUUCGCAUACAAUGGGUGUUGACGAGCCUAGCAUGUACAGACAUGGCCUCGGAACACAAGCAAAACACUUAGGUUGACUUGACGAGCCUAGCAUGUACAGACAUGGCCUCGGAACACAAGAGACCGAAAGGUCGAACAUGAGUCGUAUAGUAGAUACGAUCAACAUGGAGAUGUUCACCGAUGAUGACUAGUCCAUCCCACGUGAUGAUCGGACACGGCCUAGUCGAUUCGGAUCAUGUAUCACUUAGAUGACUAGAGGGAUGUCUAUCUAAGUGGGAGUUCAUUAAAUAAUCAGAUGAACUUAAUUAUCAUGAACAUAGUCAAAAGUUCUUUGCAAAUAAUGUCGUAGCUUACGCUUUAGUUCUACUAAGAUAUGUUCCUAGAGAAAAUUUAGUUGAAAGUUGAUAGUAGCAAUUAUGCGGACUGGGUCUGUAAACUGAGGAUUGACCUCAUUGCUGCACAGAAGGCUUAUGUCCUUAAUGCACCGCUUAGUGUGCUGAACCUCGAGCGUCGUCUGUAGAUGUUACGAAACAUCUGACAUACACAUUUUGAUGACUACGUGAUAGUUCAGUGUGUGAUGCUAACGGUUUAAAAUUGUGGCACCAAAGACGGUUUUGAAACGUCGCAGAACAUAUGAGAUGUUCCAAAGACUGAAAUUGGGAUUUCAGACUAAUGCCCACGUCAAGAGGUAUGAGACCUCUGACAAGUUUCUUAAGCCUGCAAACUAAGGGAGAGAAACUCAAUCAUUGAGCAUGUGCUCAGAUUGUCUGAGUACUACAAUCACUUGAAUCGAGUGGGAGUUAAUCUUCCAGAUGAGAUAGUGAUGGUUCUCCAUAGUCACUGCCACCAAGCUAUUAGAGCUUCGUGAUGAACUACAACAUAUCAGGGUAGACAUGAUGAUCCUUGAGCAACUCGCGAUGUUUGACACCGUGAAAGUAGAAAUCAAGAAGGAGCAUCAAUUGUUGAUGGUUGGUAAAACCACUAGUUUCUAGAAGGGCAAGGGCAAGAAGGGAUACUUCAUGAAAUGGCAAAUCAGUUGCUGCUCUAGUGAAGAAACCCAAGGUUGAACCCAAACCCAAGACUAAGUGCUUCUGAAAUGAGGGGAACGGUCACUGAAGCAGAACUACCCUAGAUACUUCGUAGAUGAGAAGGCUGGCAAGGUCGACAGAAGUAUAUUGGAUAUACAUUAUAUUAAUGUGUACUUUACUAGUACUCCUAGUAGCACCAGGGUAUUAGAUACCGGUUCGGUUGCUAAGUGUUAGUAACUCGAAAUAAAAGCUGCGGAAUAAACGGAGACUAGCUAAAGGUGAGAUGACGAUAUGUGUUGGAAGCGUUUCCAAGGUUGAUGUGAUCAAGCAUCGCAUGCUCCCUCUACCAUCGAGAUUGGGGUUAAACCUGAAUAAUUAUUAUUUGGUGUUUGCGUUGAGCAUAGACAUGAUUGGAUUAUGUUUAUCGCAAUACGGUUAUUCAUUAAAGGAGAAUAAUGGUUACUCUGUCUAUUUGAAUAAUACCUUCAAUGGUCUUGCACCUAAAAUGAAUGGUUUAUUGAAUCUCGAUCGUAGUGAUACACAUGUUCAUGCCAAAAGAUAUAAGAUAGUAAUGAUAGUACCACAUACUUGUGGCACUGCCACUUGAGUCAUAUUGGUAUAAAACGCACGAAGAAGCUCCAUGUUGAUGGAUCUUUGGACUCACUCGUUUUUGAAAAGAUUGAGACAUGCGAACCAUGUCUAUUAGUAUAUAUGCAUGAAGAAAGUCCAUACAGAUGGAUCAUUUGGACUCACUUGAUUUUGAAUCACUUGAGACAUGCAAAUCAUACCACAUGGGCGAGAUGACUGAAAGGCCUCGUUUUCAGUAAGAUGGAACAAGAGAGCAACUUGGAUGGAACAAGAGAGCAACUUGUUGGAAGUAAUACAUUUGAUGUGUGCAGUCCAAUGAGUGCCGACGCACGCAGUGGAUAUCGUUAUGUUCUUACUUCACAGAUGAUUUGUGUAGAUGCUGAGAAUAUUUACUUGAUGAAACACAAGUCUGAAUUAUUGAAAGGUUCAAGUAAUUUCAGAGUGAAGUUGAAGAUCGUCGUGACAAGAGGAUAAAAUGUAUGUGAUAUGAUCAUAGAGAUGAAUAUCUGAGUUACGAGUUUGGCACACAAUUAAGAAAUUGUGGAAAUUGUUUCACGACUAAUACCGCCUGGAACACCAUAUUGUGAUGGUGUGUCCGAACAUCAUAACUGCACCCUAUUGGAUAUGGUGCAUACCAUGAUGUCUCUUAUCGAAUUACAACUAUCGUUUAUGGGUUAGGCAUUAGAGACAACCGCAUUCACUUUAAAUAGGGCACCACGCAAUUCCGUUGAGACGACACCGUAUGAACUAUGGUUUAGAGAAACCUAAGCUGUCGUUUCUUAAAAGUUUGGGGCUGCGACGCUUAUGUGAAAAAGUUUCAGGCUGAUAAGCUCGAACCCAAAGCGGAUAAAUGCAUCUUCAUAGAAUAUCCAAAACAGUUGGGUAUACCUCCUAUUUCAGAUCUGGAAGCAAAAGUGAUUGUUUCUAGAAACGGGCCCUUUCUCGAGGAAAAGUUUCUCUCGAAAGAAUUGAGUGGGAGGAUGGUGGAGACUUGAUGAGGUCAUUGAACCGUCACUUCAACUAAUGUGUAGCAGGGCACAGGAAGUUGUUCCUGUGGCACCUACACCAAUUGAAGUGGAAGCUUAUGAUAGUGAUCAUGAAACUUCAGAUCAAGUCACUACCAAACCUCAUAGGACGACAAGGAUGCGUACUACUUCAGAGUGGUACGUAAUCCUGUCUUGGAAGUCAUGUUGCUAGACAACAAUGAACCUACGAGCUAUGGAGAAGCGACGGUGGGCCCGGAUUCCGACGAAUGGCUCGAGGCCGUAAAAUCCGAGAGGAUCCAUGUAUGAAAACAAAGUAUAGACUUUGAAAGAACUACUUGAUGGUCGUAAGGCUGUUGGGUACAGAUGGAUUUUAAAGGGAAGACAGACAAUGAUGGUAAGUGUCACCAUUAAGAAAGCUCGACUUGUCAUUAAGAUGUUUUCCGGCAAGUUCAAGGAGUUGACUGCGAUGAGACUUCUCACUCAUAGCGAUGCUAAGAGUCUGUUAGAAUUAUAUUAGCAGUUACUGCAUUAUUUAUGAAAUCUUGCAGAUAGGAUGUUAAAACAUUGUUUCCUCGACGAUUUUCUUGAGGAAAGGUUGUAUGUGAUACAACCAGAAGGUUUUGUCAAUCCUGAAAGAUGCUAACAAGUAUGCAAAGCUCCAGCAAUCCUUCUAAGGAUUGGAGUAAGCAUCUCGGAGUUGGAAUGAACGCUUUGAUGAGAUGAUCAAAGAUUUUGGGUUUAUAAUAAGUUCAUGAGAAACUUGUAUUUCCAAAGAAGUGAGUGGGAGCACUAUAGAAUUUUUGAUGAGUAUAUGUUGUUAACAUAUUGUUGAUCAGAAAUGAUGUAGAAUUUCUGGAAAGCAUCCAGGGUUAUUUGAAAAGUGUUUUUAAUGGAAAACCUGGAUUAAGCUACUUGAACAUUGAGCAUCAAGAUCUAUAAGGAUAGAUCAAAAAGGCUUAAUAGUACUUUCAAAUGAAUACAUACCGUGACAAGAUUUUGAAGGAGUUCAAAAUAGAUCAGCAAAGAAGGAGUUCUUGGCUGUUUUACAAGGUGUGGGUAUUGAGUAAGACUCAAUACCUGACCACGGCAGAAGAAAGAGAAAGGACGAAGGUCGUCCCCUAUGCUUUAGACGUAGGCUCUACAAUAUGCUAUACUGUGUACCGCACCUGAAGUGUGCCUUGCCAUGAGUUAGUCAAGGGGUACAAUAGUGAUCCAGGAAGGGAUCACAUGACAGCGGUCGAACUUAUCCUUAGUAUCUAGUGGACUGAGGAAUUUUCUCGAUUAUGGAGGUGGAAAGGGGGUUCGUCGUAAAGGGUUACGUCGAUGCAAACUUUGACACUAAUCCGGAUGACUCUGAGUAGUGAACCAGAUUCGUAUAGUAGAGCAGUUAUUUGGAAUAGCUCCAAGUAGCGCGUGGUAGUUGCAUCUACAAGAUGACAUAGAAAUUUGUAAAGCACACACGGAUCUGAAUGUUGCAGACCCGUUUACUAAAACCUCUCUCGUAAGCAUAACAUGAUCAAACCCUAGAACUCAUUGAGUGUUAAUCACAUGGUGAUGUGAACUAGAUUAUUGACUCUAGUAAACUCUUGGGUAUUAGUCACAUGGCGAUGUGAACUUUGAGUGUUAAUCACAUGGUGAUGUGAACUAGAUUAUUGACUCUAGUGCAAGUGGGAGACUGUUGGAAAUAUGCCCUAGAGGCAAUAAUAAAAUGGUUAUUAUUGUAUUUACUUGUUCAUGAUAAUUGUCUGUUGUUCAUGCUAUAAUUGUAUUAACUGGAAACCGUAAUACAUGUGUGAAUACAUAGACCACAACAUGUCCCUAGUAAGCCUCUAGUUGACUAGCUCGUUGAUCAAUAGAUGGUUAUGGUUUCCUGACCAUGGACAUUGGAUGUCAUUGAUAACGGGAUCACAUCAUUAGGAGAAUGAUGUGAUGGACAAGACCCAAUCCUAAGCAUAGCACAAGAUCGUGUAGUUCGUUUGCUAGAGCUUUUCUAAUGUCAAGUAUCAUUUCCUUAGACCAUGAUAUUGUGCAAAUCCCGGAUACCAUAGGAGUGCUUUGGGUGUGCCAAACGUCACAACGUAACUGGGUGGCUAUAAAGGUGCACUACGUGUAUCUCCGAAAGUGUCUGUUGGGUUGGCACGAAUGGAGACUGGGAUUUGUCACUCCGUAUGACGGAGAGGUAUCUCUGGGCCCACUCGGUAAUGCAUCAUCAUAAUGAGCUCAAUGUGACCAAGUGUUUGGUCACAGGAUCAUGCAUUACGGUACGAGUAAAGUGACUUGCCGGUAACGAGAUUGAACAAGGUAUUGGGAUACCGACGAUCGAAUCUCGGGCAAGUAACGUACCGAUUGACAAAGGGAAUUGUAUACGGGAUUGGUUGAAUCCUCGACAUCGUGGUUCAUCCAAUGAGAUCAUCGUGGAACAUGUGGGUGCCAACAUGGGUAUCCAGAUCCUGCUGUUGGUUAUUGACCGAAGAGUCGUCUCGGUCAUGUCUGCAUGUCUCCCGAACCCGUAGGGUCUACACACUUAAGGUUCGGUGACGCUAGAGUUGUAGAGAUAUUAGUAUGCGGUUAACCGAAAGUUGUUCGGAGUCCCGGAUGAGAUCCCGGACGUCACGAGGAGUUCCGGAAUGGUCCGGAGGUAAAGAUUUAUAUAUGGGAAGUCCCAUUUUGGCCACCGGAAAAUGUUCGGGAUUUUUCGGUAUUGUACCGGGAAGGUUCUAGAAGGUUCCAAAGUGGGGCCCACCUGCAUGGGGGGACCCACAUGAACGUGGGUAGUGGGGGAAAGGCCCCACACCCCUGUUCAAGGCGCACCAAGAUCCCACCUUAGAAGGAAUAAGAUCAUAUCCCGAAGGGAUAAGAUCAAGAUCCCUAAAGAAGGGGGAUAACAAUCGGUGGGGAAGGGAAAUGAUGGGAUUUCUUUCCCCCACCUUUGCCAACGCCCCAAUGGACUUGGAGGGCAAGAAACCAGCCCCCUCCACCCCUAUAUAUAGUGGGGAGGCGCAUGGGAGCAGCACCCCAAGCCCUGGCGCCUCCCUCCCUCCCGUGACACCUCUUCCUCCCCGUUUGCGCUUGGCAAAGCCCUGCCGGGAUCCCGCUACUUCCACCACCACGCCGUCGUGCUGCUGGAUCUCCAUCAACUUCUCCUCCCCCCUUGCUGGAUCAAGAAGGAGGAGACGUCCCCGCUACGUACGUGUGUUGAACGCGGAGGUGCCGUCCGUUCGGCGCUAGGAUCAUCGGUGAUUUGGAUCACGACGAGUACGACUCCAUCAACCCCGUUCUCUUGAACGCUUCCGCUCGCGAUCUACAAGGGUAUGUAGAUGCACUCCUCCCCUCUCGUUGCUAGCACCUCCUAGAUUGAUCUUGGUGACACGUAGGAAAAUUUUGAAUUUCUGCUACGUUCCCCAACAGAAUGAGUGUAAGUGCCGGAAGGGGAAUUGUGGUGUAGAGUGACCUCAGCAUAAUACUCGUACAAUGCUCCGGCCAGAUGCUCCCGAUACACCUGAUACUCUGGAUCAGCACCCUCUGGAUAGAGUCGUCGCCACACGUUCUGAAGCAGGUGCGGUGAUUGAUACGUCUCCAUCGUAUCUAUAAUUUUUGAUUGUUCCAUGCCAAUAUUCUAUAACUUUCAUAUACUUUUGGCAACUUUUUAUACUAUUUUUGGACUAACAUAUUGAUCCAGUGCCCAGUGCUAGUUCUUGUUUGUUGCAUGUUUUAUGUUUCGUAGAAAACCCAUAUCAAACGGAGUCCAAACGGGAUAAAAACUAACGGAGAUUUUUUUUGGAAUAUUUGUGAUUUUUGGGAAGAAGAAUCAACAAGAUACGAUGCCCGAGGGGGCCACGAGGCAGGGGGCGCGCCCUGGACCCUCGUGGCCACCCCGUAAGGCGGUUGGAGCCCUUCUUUUGCUGCAAGAAAGCUAAUUUCCGGAUAGAGACCGUGUCCAAAAUUCAGCCCAAUCGGAGUUACGGAUCUCCGGUUAUAAAAGAAAAGGUGAAAGGCCAGAUCUGAGAGCGCAGAAACAGAGAGAGACAGAAAGACAGAUCCAAUCACGGAGGAGCUCUCGCCCCUCCCAUGCCAUGGAGGCCAAGGACCAGAGGGGAAACCCUUCUCCCAUCUAGGGAGGAGGUCAAGGAAGAAGAAGAAGAAGGGGCCCCCUCUCCCCCUCUCUUUCGGUGGCGCCGGAACACCGCCGGGGGCCAUCAUCAUCACCGCAACACCUCCGCCAUCUUCACCAACAUCUCCAUCACCUUCCCCCCUCUAUCUAUAGCGGUCCACUCUCCCGCAACCCGCUGUACCCUCUACUUGAACAUGGUGCUUUAUGCUUCAUAUUAUUAUCCAAUGAUGUGUUGCCAUCCUAUGAUAUCUGAGUAGAUUUUCGUUGUCCUAUCGGUGGUUGAUGAAUUGCUAUGAUUGAUUUAAUUUGCUUUUGGUUAUGUUGCUGUCCUUUGGUGCCCAUCAUAUGAGCACGCGCGUCGAUCACACCAUAGGGUUAGUUGUAUGUUGAUAGGACUAUGUAUUGGAGGGCAAGAGUGACAGAAGCUUCAACCUAGCAUAGAAAUUGAUGCAUACGGGAUUGAAGGGGGGCCAAUAUAUCUUAAUGCUAUGGUUGGGUUUUGCCUUAAUGAACGUUAGUAGUUGCGGAUGCUUGCUAAUAGUUCCAAUCAUAAGUGCAUAGAAUUCCAAGUCAGGGAUGACAUGCUAGCAGUGGCCUCUCCCACAUAAAAUUUGCUAUCGGUCUAGUAAAGUAGUCAAUUGCUUAGGGACAAUUUCGCAACUCCUAUCACCACUUUUCCACACUCGCUAUAUUUACUUUAUUGUGUCUUUAUCUAAACAGCCCCUACUUUUUAUUUACAUGCUCUUUAUUAUCUUGCAAACCUAUCCAACAACACCUACAAAGUAUUUCUAGUUUCAUACUUGUUCUAGGUAAAGCGAAUGUUAAGCGUGCGUAGAGUUGUAUCGGUGGUCGAUAGAACUUGAGGGAAUAUUUUUUCUACCUUUAGCUCCUCGUUGGGUUCGACACUCUUACUUAUCGAAAGAGGCUACAAUUGAUCCCCUAUACUUGUGGGUUAUCAAGACCUUUUUCUGGCGCCGUUGCCGGGGAACAAUAGCGUGGGGUGAAUAUUCUCGUGUGUGCUUGUUUGCUUUAUCACUAAGUAAUUUUUAUUUGCUGUUCUUAGUUGUUCUUUAUCUUUAGUUAUGGAUAUGGAACACGAAAUACCAAAAAAUUAGGUGUACUUGCUACUCAUGGAGAUGGGGAACCUCCUAAAACCCUCGAUGCUCGUUAUGUGACAGAUAUUAUGUACUACUUUGAUAAUCCAGAGAAAACCCCAUUCAAUUAUGUAAUGGGCGACACGUUGGAUCAACGUGAAUACUUUAGGGAUUAUCGCUUGACUCAAAAAGGGAAACUAUUAUGGGACCAAAUUCAUAUGUUGAAGUGGUAUGCUAGGCAACUAUGCUUGAGAUAUGAUUAUACUUGUUGCUCUAGUAUGAAGUCUCCACACCUUCCCUUUUCAUGCAAAUUUAAUGAUAAUAAAACCUUAUCUUCUUAUGCUAAUGGUAUAUAUGAUUACUAUGAUGUGGAAUAAAUAGAAGAAUUUGUUGCUUUUAUGGGUGCUUAUGAAAUUGAAUCUAUGUUCAAAGAAUUUGAAAAUCUUUAUGAUGUUGUUUAUAGACCUGAAAACUUAGCUAUCCUUAAAUAUUGCUAUGCCAAUUAUGAAUUCAAUUCCGAUAUUGAUGCAUUUAUUGAGAAAGUCUCCGCUGUCCAAGAAGAGACUAAUAUUUUGCAGGAGUCUAUGGAAGAAGAAAUUGAUGAUACUGUGAGCUCAUUGGAUGAAAAAGAUGAUGAGGAGAGCAAAGAACAAAAGGAGGAAGAGCGGGUUAGCUACCCGUGCCCACCUUCUAAUGAGAGUAACUCUUCAACUCAUACAUUGUUUAAUUUCCCUUCGUGCUUACCGAAGGAUGAUUGCUAUGAUGAUUGUUAUGAUUCGGUUGAUUCUCUUGAAAUAUCCCUUUUUGAUGAUGCUUGCUAUGCUUGUGGCCAAGAUGCCAAUAUGAAUUAUGCUUUUGGAGAUGAACUUGCUAUAGUUCCUUAUGUUAAACAUGAAAUUGUUGCUAUUGCACCCACACAUGAUAGUCAUAUUAUCUUUUUGAAUUGUCCCGACUACACUAUAUCAGAGAAGUUUUCCCUUAUUAAGGAUUAUAUUGAUGGGUUGUGUUUUACUUACACACAUGAUGAUUUUGAUGAAUAUAAUAUGCAUGUGCUUGCUGCUCCUACUUGCAAUUAUUAUGAGAGAGGAACUACAUCUCUGCCUCUUUAUGUUUCCAACACGAAAAAAUUGCAAAAAACUGUUUAUACUAUGCAUUGGCCUUUACUAUGUGUGCAUGAAUUGUUCUUUUAUGACAUGCCGAUGCAUAGGAAGAGAUUUAGACUUCUUCAUUACAUGAUAUAUGUUACUUUGUGCUCACUACUAAAUGCCAAAUCAUUGCUAAUUAAAAUUGGCUUUGAUAUACCUUGGGAUCCGGGUGGAUUCACUACUUGAGCACCAUAUGCCUAGCUUAAUGGCUUUAAAGAAAGCGCUGCCAGGGAGACAACCCGGAAGUUUUAGAGAGUCAUUUAUUUCUAUUGAGUGCUUUCAUAUAGUUUAAAAACAAAAAGAUAAAGAGGGGAACCCAAAACUUUUUCAAAAAGAAAAGUGAAAGUGAGAGAGACAAGCAUUGUUCAAGUGGGAGCUAGCCUUGAACUUUGUUCAUGCUCACGGAAACUUUGUGAAUCUUGAUUACAGAAACUUUUCAACAAAAAUAAUUAUCCCCUUGUAUAAUUCCAUUGUAUUAUAAAAAUAAUGUGCCAAGGUUUGCCUUUAGGAUGUUUACAAUGCUUGUUGGUUUGUACGGUAAAGGACAGAAACUUUGGCUGUAGUGCGCGAUUUUUAAUUGUUUACUGCAACGUCAAAAGGUUCUGAAAUGUUUUGCACUGUCUUUCUAUACAAAUUGUUUAUUUUCUCUAAUUUUGGCAGAAUUUUUCAAGUAUCAGAAGUAUGGUGAAUGUUCAGAUUAUUACAGACUGUUCUGUUUUAGACAGAUUCUGUUUUUGAUGCAUAGUUUGCUUGUUUUGAUGAAACUAUCAAUUUCUAUCAGUAGAUUAAGCCAUGAAAAAUUUAUAUUACAGUAGAAACAGUGCAAAAAAAAUAUGAAUUGGUUUGCAACAGUACUUAGAUUAGUGAUUUACUUUAUUAUACUAACGGAUCCUACCGAGUUUUCUGUUGAAGUUUUGUGUGGAUGAAGUGUUCCAUGAUCGAGAAGGUCUCGAUAUGAGGAGAAGGAGGAGAGGCCAGAGCUCAAGCUUGGGGAUGCCCAAGGAACCCCAAGUAAAUAUUCAAGGAUAAUCAAGCGUCUAAGCUUGGGGAUGCCCCGGAAGGCAUCCCAUCUUUCUUCAACAAGUAUCGGUAUGUUUUCGGAUUCGUUUUGUUCAUGCGAUAUGUGCAAAUCUUGGAGCGUCUUUUGCAUUUAGUUUUCACUUUUCUUUUAUGCAACAUGCUGGUAUGAGAUAGUCCUUGGUUAAUUUAUAGAAUGCUCAUUGCACUUCACUUAUAUAUUUUGAGUAUGGCUUUAUAGAAUGCUUCAUGUGCUUCACUUAUAUCAUUUGAAGUUUGGAUUGCCUGUUUCUCUUCACAUAGAAUCGCCAUUUGUAGAAUGCUCUUUUGCUUCACUUAUACUUGUUAGAGCGUGGGCAUAUCUUUUGUAGAAAGAAUUAAACUCUCUUGCUUCACUUAUAUCUAUUUAGAGAGAUGACAGCAACUGGUCAUUCACAUGGUUAGUCAUAAAAUCCUACAUAAAACUUGUAGAUCACUGACUAUGAUAUGGUUGAUUCCUUGCAAUAGUUUUGUGAUAUAAAGAUGGUGAUAUUAGAGUCAUGCUAGUGUGUAGUUGUGGAUUGUAGAAAUACUUGUGUUGAGGAUUGUGAUUCCCGUAGCAUGCACGUAUGGUGAACCGUUAUGUAACGAAGUCGGAGCAUGAUUUAUUUAUUGAUUGUCUUCCUUAUGAGUGGCGGUCGGGGACGAGCGAUGGUAUUUUCCUACCAAUCUAUCCCCCCAGGGGCAUGCAUAGUAGUACUUUGCUUCCAGGGCUAAUAAACUUUUGCAAUAAUUAUAUGAGUUCUUUAUGACUAAUGUGAGUCCAUGGAUUAUACGCACUCUCACCCUUCCAUCUUGCUAGCCUCUUCGGUACCGUGCAUUGCCCUUUCUCACCUCGAGAGUUGGUGCAAACUUCGCUGGUGCAUCCAAACCCCGUGAUACGAUACGCUCUAUCACACAUAAGCCUCAUUAUAUCUUCCUCAAAACAGCCACCAUACCUACCUAUCAUGACAUUUCCAUAGCCAUUCCGAGAUAUAUUGCCAUGCAACUUCCAUCAUCAUCAUAUACAUGACUUGAGCAUUUAUUGUCAUAUUGCUUUGCAUGAUCAUAAGAUAUCUAGCAUGAUGUUUUCAUGGCUUGUCCGUUUUUUUGAUGUCAUUGCUACGCUAGAUCAUUGCACAUCCCGGUACACCACCGGAGGUGUUCAUAUAGAGUCAUAUCUUUGUUCUAGUAUCGAGUUGUAAUAUUGAGUUGUAAGUAAAUAAAAGUGUGAUGAUCAUCAUUAUUAGAGCAUUGCCCCAUCAAAAAAAAGAGAGGCCAAAGAAGCCUAAAUAAAAAAAGGGGCCAAAGAAGCCCGCAAAAAAAAGAAAAAAAGAAAAAAGGGCAAUGUUACUAUCCUUUUACCACACUUGUGCUUCAAAGUAGCACCAUGUUCUUCAUGAUAGAGAGUCUCUUGAGUUAUCACUUUCAUAUACUAGUGGGAAUUUUCAUUAUAGAACUAGGCUUGUAUAUUCCAACGAUGGGCUUUCUCAAAUGCCCUAGGUCUUCAUGAGCAAGCAAGUUGGAUGCACACCCACUUAGUUUGAGUUUGAGCUUUCAUAUACUUAUAGCUCUAGUGCAUCUGUUGCAUGUCAAUUCCUACUCCUCACAUUGACAUCAAUUGAUGGGCAUCUCCAUAGCCUGUUGAUUAGCCGCGUCGAUGUGAGACUUUCUCCUUUUUUGUCUUCUCCACAUAACCCCCAUCAUCAUAUUCUAUUCCACCCAUAGUGCUAUAUCCAUGGCUUGCGCUCAUGUAUUGCGUGAGGGUUGAAAAGGCUGAAGCGCGUUAAAAAGUAUGAACCUAUUGCUCGGCUUGUCAUCGGGGUUGUGCCUGAUGUGAAUAUUUUGUGUGGUGAAGAUGGAGCAUAGCCAGACUAUAUGAUUUUGUAGGGAUAACUUUCUUUGGCCAUGUUAUUUUGAAAAGACAUGAUUGGUUCAUUGGUAGGCUAGAAGUAUUAUUGUUUUUAAUGUCAAAUGAUAGACUAUUGCUUUGAAUCACUCGUGUCUUAAUAUUCAUGCCAUGAUUAGAUUAUGUGAUCAAGAUUAUGCUAGGUAGCAUUCGACAUCAAAAAUUAUCUUUCUUAUCAUUUACCUACUCGAGGACGAGCAGGAAUUAAGCUUGGGGAUGCUGAUACCUCUCUGUUGUAUCUAUAAUUUUUGAUUGUUCCAUGGCAAUAUUCUACAACUUUCAUAUAGUUUUGGCAACUUUUUAUACUAUUUUUUGGACUAACAUAUUGAUCCAGUGCCCAGUGUCAGUUCCUGUUUGUUGCAUGUUUCAUGUUUCGCAGAAAACCCAUAUCAAACGGAGUCCAAACGGGAUAAAAACUAACGGAGAUUUUUUUUGGAAUAUUUGUGAUUUUUGGGAAGAAGAAUCAACACGAUAUGAUGCCCAAGGGGGCCACGAGGCAGGGGGCGCGCCCCAGGGGGUCAGGCACGCCCUGGACCCUCCCGGCCACUGCGUAAGGAGGUUGGAGCCCUUCUUUCGCCGCAAGAAAGCUAAUUUUCGGAUAGAGACCGUGUCCAAAAUUCAGCCAAAUCGGAGUUACGGAUCUUCGGUUAUAAAAGAAACGGUGAAAGGUCAGAUCUGAGAGCGCAGAAAUAGAGAGAGACAGAAAGACAGAUCCAAUCUCGGAGGGGCUCUCGCCCCUCCCAUGCCAUGGAGGCCAAGGACCAGAGGGGAAACCCUUCUCCCAUCUAGGGAGGAGGUCAUGGAAGAAGAAGAAUAAGGGGGCCCCUCUCCCCCUCUCUUCCGGUGGCGCCGGAACGCCGCCAGGGCCAUCAUCAUCACCGCAACACCUCCGCCAUCUUCACCAACAUCUCCAUCACCUUCCCCCCUCUAUCUACAGCGGUCCACUCUCCUGCAACCCACUGUACCCUCUACUUGAACAUGGUGCUUUAUGCUUCAUAUUAUUAUCCAAUGAUGUGUUGCCAUCCUAUGAUGUCUGAGUAGAUUUUCGUUGUCCUAUCGGUGGUUGAUGAAUUGCUAUGAUUGAUUUAAUUUGCUUGUGGUUAUGUUGCUGUCCUUUGGUUAAUCAUAUGAGCGCGCGCGUGGAUCACACCAUAGGGUUAGUUGUAUGUUGAUAGGACUAUGUAUUGGAGGGCAAGAGUGACAGAAGCUUCAACCUAGCAUAGAAAUUGAUGCAUACGGGAUUGAAGGGGGACCAAUAUAUCUUAAUGCUAUGGUUGGGUUUUACCUUAAUGAACGUUAGUAGUUGCGGAUGCUUGCUAAUAGUUCCAAUCGUAAGUGCAUAGAAUUCCAAGUCAGGGAUGACAUGCUAGCAGUGGCCUCUCCCACAUAAAACUUGCUAUCGGUCUAGUAAAGUAGUCAAUUGCUUAGGGACAAUUUCGCAACUCCUAUCAACACUUUUCCACACUCGCUAUAUUUACUUUAUUGUGUCUUUAUCUAAACAGCCCCUACUUUUUAUUUACGUGCUCUUUAUUAUCUUGCAAUCCAAUCCAACAACACCUAUAAAGUAUUUCUAGUUUCAUACUUGUUCUAGGUAAAGCGAACGUUAUGCGUGCGUAGAGUUGUAUCGGUAGUCGAUAGACCUUGAGGGAAUAUUUGUUCUACCUUUAGCUCCUUGUUGGGUUCGACACUCUUACUUAUCGGAAGAGGCUACAAUUGACCCCCUAUACUUGUGGGUUAUCAGCGAUGUGUACGGAGCUGGCUCAGGAUGGUACAAGAUCGGAACUGGAGCCAUCUACACUCACAACCAUCAUACUGUUAGUAAUACCAACAGAUAACAUGCAUGCAAUGCAGCAACCAAUUUCUAUGACUACCGGCACUCAGACGAAACUAUUUACCGUUCCACUAACGCUCUAACGGUCUAGCGUGUCUUACAAUCAGCGCAGCUCUGAUACCAAGCGUUGUGGCAUCCCAGUUCAGAGCAACCGGUUUACCUUGCAUUGCCAGCCCAGAGAUCAAGUCUUUUGGCAACACACAACAACAUGGUACAUAAACAACCGCUUUAUUGAUGCUAGCGGAUUACACGGGUCUGAUAUUACAUCGAGAUAAGAGGCCAAGCGGCACACUCGGUGCGGCUCAACAGUAUGUACAUUAUUUAAUGAACAUAAAGGGGCCUCGAUUACACGAACUACGCGGCAGCGGAAGAACGACGAAGUGGAACUCCAUAGCACAGGGAGACCGAUGUCGACACCGCCUAGACGCGGGAAGCUCUCCGAUGCGAAAUGACUUGCCUGAAAACUGGCAUGACACGCCAGGUCAGUACAUUGAAUGCAACAAAAAUAAGCAUAAUGACAAACAAUAUCAUGACAAUUAAUCAGGUUAAUGCAAUGCAAGUAAUGCUACUAAUGCGGUGAAACCAACAUGUGCACCAUGUCCCACGGACUCGCUUACCAGACGGGUUACCUCGUAACCAAACGGUGAUCAUACCCGGAUCACAACUGAAACCAAUCACUCAUGAUUAGCUCAUGAUCUCCAGAAUCAUCAGUGCCAUCAACAAUUAUUUAGUGUGCAAGAUUAAUUAUAAAAGUUGAUCCAUGGUGUGACUUACUUCCGAGUUGUGCCCAUAACCGAGGACGCGGCUAUCGAUAGAUUUAAUAUACUCUGCAGAGGUAGCGCACUUUACCCACACCACGGAAUCCAUGGCCUCGCCCUCCCAUUCGGGUGGACCAACGGCAUUCCGACGAAACCCUCCCCUUGUCAUGACACUCUCCCGGCCACUCCGACAAACUCCCUCUCAGGGCUAUGUCCUGGGUGGCCCCGUGUCUACCAAAGACACCAACGGCCACCGUCGUGGCAAAACGGUCCCAAACUGGGACAAGGUACCAUAAAAACAAACGGGCACACAAGGUUAUGUCUGCUUACUGGGCCAAGGUAUGCACGCACAUAACCUUCCCUCAUUGGAGGCACCGGUGUGAGGCACAACAAAGGACCGAAUCAAGACCUCCCACGAGGUAAAUGUGGUCGCACUGAGAGAAACCCUAUUCAGUGGCACCAUGACUUGAUCAACGUCAUAUUGAAGUGGACUUAUUAACAGGUUUAACUUGAAUAAAAAUUUAAACUACCAAGUCAUAUGAUGCCAUGAUCAUGCAACUAAUCAACAUGCAAAGCAUACAACUCCCAUGUACGGAUCAAACUUAUCCACAUAACUUGCUUGCACUACUCAUGAUUAAACUUUACUGGUUCUCCCUCAACUUUUAUUAUCACGCAAUAUUUUUAUUAACUCAUAAUUUAUAUGUAGAUAUCACUUACCAAAAGAACUAUCAUUAUUUAUCAUAGCAAUAUAACUAAGGCAAAAUUUUAUUCUACUAGACCAAACUAGUCCAUGCAUUCAACCAGUAACUUAAACAAGCAUUUCAUGCAUGACAAAGUAACUAGCAAGCAACCAUAUAUUUUUAAAAAAAAUUUAAAUGCAUAUAAGAACUCAUAUUUAAGUAGAAACAAUCAUAGAUAUUGAAAUGACACCAUACAAAUGCUGGUAUGGCUUGCCUUAGUGCAGAGGAGGGUCACACUCCUCCUGGUGUCUUCAAGGCAAGUUCCUUCUUCUGAAAAUAUUUAAAAACCACAAAACAAAAUAUCAAAAAUCAUUCUGAAAAUCACUAGAAAUUCUAGACAACAAGGAAAAUUCCACAUUUUGGUGUGCUGCUAGUGCUUUCUGAAACAAACACAAUGCAAAAAGAAUCAACUCAUUUGGACUUAGGGCCUAGGAGUUAUCACUGGUCAAAGUUGUGGUCAAAUAUUUGAAUUAUUUUUGAAUAAAUCGAAAAACCUGGGGGGGGUGACGUCGGUGGCAUAAAGCCAGGAUACGCCUCCACUCGUACUGCUUCGGGAGCAAGUGGUGAGGCUGACACCGGGCCCCACCGGUCAGGAGAGAGAAGGGGGAGAGGGGAAACAGAGCGCGGCGGCGCUCUGUGGGUUUUGGAAAAAACCAGAGGGAUAGAAGUGGAGAGGGGGUCGUGGCGCACCAGCCCGUACCUGUGGCUUGCUGGGGGAUGGACGGAGUUGCUCGCAAUCAAGCUCGCAAGCGGCGGUGGUGGACGGGGCUUGCCGGAGAGGAAGAAGGCGACGGCGAGGGGCGACUCCAGGGGCUCAGCUGCGACCAGGCGACACCAGAGGAUCCCCAACGACGCGCCGGAGAGGUUGAUAGAGCUAGAAGGGCUCUGGAGUGGGGUGGUUGGGCUGCGGGGAUCGCCGGCGAUCUCUGGUCGAGGUCGACGGCCAGAGGCCUGCUCGACCGGGCUACGGCUCCUCUACACGGUUGUGGUGGUUAUGUGGUGCGGUGUGAGGCUUCAAAGCGGAGGGAAUGGCUCUAUAUAUAGCCGGAGCGAGAGGGGGGGUACGUGGCGUCGCUGGAGUUCUCUUGAGACCGACGAAGUGCGACGAAAGGCACCAGAGGGAGGGGGCAAGGGCUCAGUGUGUAGGUGGGAGCUGUCCACGCUCGCGGACGAGCACAGGAGGCAGGGGGAGAAGAAGACAAGGGCACGAGCGCACUGUGGCUUUUGGCCGCGACGUGCCCAUGCUCGCUGCGGUGUCUCCAGCGUCGCGAGCGCCAGAGAGGGGUCAAAGGUGAUGAGUCAAGGCUGGUGGCACGGCGCGGCAGUCGUCGGCGAGCUCUGGCUCGAGCACGCGCCGAACAGAGGCGUUGGCACUACUCAGAGCGCGUCGAGCACAUGCCAGACCCCAUGUCCACACGCGGUCACCACCCUGGCAUUGUCAAAACGACGCCCACGAUCGGCCAAACCUUGUCUGGGCUAAAGUCCAUGCAGUGAUGGGUCUAGGGAAGCUGAGGACUCAAUGCCGGGCCGACCAGAUGUGACUCAACCAUCUUGGCAAGUUUCUGGACAGAAACUUGGCUGCUAUGUUUGGAUAGCUUCUAGAUGGCCAUUAGGGCUGAUCUCCUGGGGUUAAGGGUUACUUAGGAGGGUGAAGAGACUCAAGAAAAAUCAGGGCCAAAGGAUCAAGGAAAAAUGCACUUGCUGUUCAAAGUGAAAUUUUGGGCCAGAAGAGAAAUUAUUUUCUGUAGCAAAAAUACUACAAAAAGUCAUGCAAUAUUUUUUCUUGGGAAGGUGGGCCAUGGUUCAAAGAAUAUUCAGGAAUUAUUUCAGAUUUUUAGGAGCAAUAAAAAUGGGGGUUGCUUUGGAGCACAAGUUUCUGAAAUGAGUUUCAGAGGAGAAAAUGAAUAUUUUCCUUUUAUGAAAAAUAUUCAUUUGAUUAUUUUGAGGAUUUUUCAGAGAACUAAGGUUGAAGGAGAAGUAGAUAGGUCACUUGGGUGAAAGUCAAGGGCAUGCCCAAGUGACAAGUCCAUUUGAAUUGAUUCCAAAAACUCAAAUCCAAGGCAAAGGCAAAACCAUGUCCGGAAAAAGAGAGAAGGCAAAAUCCAGGCUGUCACAAACCUCCCCCACUUAGGAUGAAUCUCGUCCUCGAGAUUCGGUUGCUUGGGAAAGCCAUCCUGGGUAGGAAGUCCUUAAAAAUUCCUCUCUUUCCCAGGUUGCCUCUUCCUUGGUAUGAUGUUCCCACUGAACCUUGUAAAACCUUAGCACUUUGCUGCGAGUGACUCUUUCUGUAUCAGCCAAUAUUCUGAUUGGUUUUUCCUCAUACGUCAAAUCCUUAGCCAGUUCUAUCUCUGCCAUAUCAGUCCUUUUCUCCGGUGGCGAGAUACAUCUCCUUAGCUGUGAGACAUGAAACACAUUGUGUACCUCUGACAGUUCGGGUGGCAAUUCCAAUUGAUAUGCAACUGUUCCGACUCUGGCCAUGACUGGAAACGGACCAAUAUAUCUGGGUGCCAAUUUUCCUCGGGUCUGAAACCUCUUAACUCCUUUCAUAGGGGUAACUUGGAGAUAGACGUGUUCUUCGGGUUCGAAGCUGAUCUGACGGUGUUUGGCGUCAUAAUAAUUCUUCUGUCGAGAUUUGGCCAACUGCAGUCUGUCUCGGAUUUCCUUGACUUGCUUCUCAGCUUCGAUCAUCAAAUCAGUCCCGAAAAUAUGGUUGUCCCCGGUUUGAGACCAAUUCAGCGGAGUGCGGCACUUACGGCCAUACAGAGCUUCAAAGGGUGACAUCUUUAAGCUGGUCUGGAAACUGUUGUUGUAGGAAAACUCGGCGUAUGGCAGACAGUCUUCCCACUUGGACCCUUGGGCCAAUGCACAUGCCCGGAGCAUAUCUUCGAGUAUUUGGUUUACUCGCUCAGUUUGUCCAUCUGUCUGGGGAUGAUAAGCCAUGCUGUAUUUCAGAGCAGUUCCCAAGGCUUGAUGUAGUCUGGACCAAAAUGCUGAGGUGAAGAGAGAUCCUCUAUCUGAAGUGAUAUUCUUUGGUACUCCAUGCAGACUGACGAUUCAGGACACAUACAAUUGUGCAAGUUGAUCGACAUGGUAGGUGGUCCGGAUGGGAAGAAAAUGUGCCACCUUCGUUAAGGUGUCCACUAUGACCCAUAUUGCGUCAUUUCCUCGGUGAGUCCUUGGUAAACCGGUGAUGAAAUCCAUGCAGACAUCAUCCCAUUUCCAUUGGGAUACAGGUAACGGUUUGAAGGAGUCCGACGGGUUUUUGGUGUUCCGCCUUUACCUUGUUGCAUAUAUCACAACAAGCCACAAAGUAAGCGAUCUCGUUCUUCAUUCCAUUCCACCAGAAUACCUGACGAAGGUCUUCGUACAUUUUAGUGCCACCUGGGUGAAUUGAGUACGGCGAUUCAUGUGCUUCUGUCAAUAUUUUCUUCCUCAGACCUUCUUGGCUGGGUACGCAAAUCCUUCCUCGGAAUCUUAGCGUACCUUGUUGAUCUCUAGAGAAAUCCUGUGUCUGUCCUUCUUGCAUACGCUUGGCAUAUAAUUGCAAUGAUUUGUCAUUUGCUUGAGCGCUGCGAAUUUCUUCUUCGAGGGUAGGAGUAACUUCCAAUAUACUGGCAAGACUGGCAUCCAUGAUUACCAAAUUAAGCCGGGCAAUUUCUCCAUAAAGCUCAGGAGGCAAAGAUUCCACUAGAGCAUUCAGGUUGGCCGGUUUGCGGCUGAGAGCGUCAGCAACCACAUUAGCUUUGCCCGGGUGAUAAUUUAUACCGAUGUCGUAAUCCUUAACCAAUUCGAGCCAUCUUCACUGAUGAAGGUUCAAAUCAGGCUGAGUGAAUAUAUACUUGAGACUCUUGUGGUCGGUAAAUAUCUGGCACCUCUUUCCAAUAAGAUAAUGUCUCCAAAUCUUCAAAGCGUGCACCACCGCAGCCAAUUCCAAAUCAUGAGUGGGAUAAUUUCCCUCGUGUGGCCGUAGUUGUCGGGAUGCAUGAGCCACAACCUUGCCAUCUUGCAUAAGUACGCAUCCAAGGCCUUUUCUGGAGGCGUCACAGUAGACAUCAAAACUGCUAUAGAUGUCGGGAAGAGUCAAUACUGGUGCUGACGUCAAUCUGGUUUUUAGCUCCUUGAAACUCCGUUCGCAGUUCUCAGUCCAUUCAAACUUCUUAUCCUUCUUUAGGAGCUUUGUCAUGGGUUUGGCAAUCUUGGAGAAUCCUUCAAUAAAACGGCGAUAAUAUCCGGCUAGUCCAAGGAAACUUUGGAUUUCUGAGACUGUCGUGGGUGCGGACCAAUCAAGCACAUCUUUUACCUUGCUUAGAUCCAAAGCUAUUCCUUCUGCCGAGAGAACCUGCCCUAAAAAUCCAACUUGCUUGAGCCAAAACUCAAAUUUGCUAAACUUGGCGUAAAGUUGAUGAUCGCGGAGUCUCUGCAAAACUGCUCGGAGGUGGUCCUUGUGUUCCUCUUUGCUUUUUGAGUAAAUGAGGAUGUCAUCGAUGAACACCACCACAAAUUUGUCCAAGAAGUCCAUAACACCUUUAUUCAUCAUAUGCAUGAACAAGGCUGGGGCGUUGGUGAGGCCGAAUGACAUAACGGUAUACUCAUAGAGACCAUACCGAGUGGUGAACGCGGUCUUGGGAAAAUCUUCCUUCUUGAUUUUGAGUUGAUGAUAUCCGGUCCUCAAAUCAAUUUUGGAGAAUACUUUGGCCCCACUGAGUUGAUCAAACAAAUCAUCAAUCCUUGGUAGCGGAUACUUAUUUUUGAUGGUGACAUCAUUCAGCUGUCGGUAGUCCACGCACAUCCGAAGACUGCCAUCCUUUUUAUCCACGAAUAUCGCGGGUGAUCCCCACGGUGAAGAGCUUGGGCGGAUGUAUCCUUUCUGCAGCAUUUCAUCCAGUUGUUUCUUUAAUUCCACCAAUUCUGAUGAAGGCAUCCGAUAAUAUUUCUUGUGUAUCGGUGUGGUUCUAGGCACCAAGUCAAUUGCAAACUCCAGUUCUUUGUCUGGCGGCAUUCCUGGUAAUUCCUCAGGAAAUACAUCUGGAUACUCACUGACCACUGCAAUCAAUUCCACUUCUUCAACCACGGCGGUGAAAACCAUAUCCUUCUUGGGUAUGCUUUUGCGGGCAUAAAAACAUGCGGUGCGACCCUCCUGAUUUGCCAUGGUAACUUCUCUGGUUGCAUAGUUGAUGCAUACUUGGUAUUGGGUCAACCAAUUCAUUCCGAGAAUAAUAUCCAAUUUGUCAGAAUCGAUGAUUAUUAGAGACGUUGGAAACUUGACCCCCUUGAUAUCAAUUUCCAGAUUACGGAAGACCAGAUUGCUUCUGAGCAAGGAUCCCGGGGAUUGUACCAGCAUAUGUUUUCCCAAAAUCGAGCAAGGAAAUUUGUUUUGGGCAGCACAACUCCACGAAAUAAAAGAGUGGGAAGCCCUAGAGUCAAAUAAAAUUAUGGCAGGUAUGUUAUUAAUAGGGAACAUACCAAUGAGUACUUCCGGGUCUUCUUGGGCUUCAUCGGUGGAGAUAUGAUGGAUUUGCCCUUGGAUGGCACUCGGGCCAGGAUAUGGCUCCAGAUAGUUGACUUGCGGACGGAAUGGGGCUGUUGGCUUGCCGUUCUUGGGGCACUAUCUGGCGUAAUGUCUGGUUUGCCCACAACUGAAACAGGAAUUGUUGCGCUGACAAUCUUCACGUACUGGGCUGGUCACGAUAUUCUUGACUUGAGUGGUGGUCUUGUUGACAUUUUGCUGCCAGUUGGGUUUGUAGUCAACCUGAGUCUGUUGCCAUGUACGAGCCUUCUGCACGGGUUGCAUAUCCUUCUUAGGCUCUAAUUUGCGCUUGUGGUAAUUAUUAGCUGGCCUGUUGUCGUGCAUGAGCUUGUGUUCCCGUUCUGCGAUGAGAGUCUUGUUCACCAGAGUUUGGAAGUCCGGAAAAUCAAACAUGCUGAGAGUGCACCUGAGAUGCUGAUUCAGUCCUCCAAGAAAUCUGUCGACCUUCCGUUCUUCGGUGGCCACAUCAUAGAGGGAAUAGCGGGCCAAAUGGUUGAAUUUAUUCAGGUACUCGCUGACUGACAUGCUUCCGUGAGUGAGAGAGAGGAAUUCGCGCUGCUUGAUUUUCAUAAUUCCGGAGGGAAUAUGGUACUUGCGGAAAUGAUCCUUGAAUUUAGUCUAAGUAAUUUCCUCGUCUGCGGGCCACAUGGCCUUAGCAUUAUCCCACCAUAUCGCGGCAGCUCCUUCAAGAUAAUGCGUUCCGGAAGGAACCUUGUCUCCUUCUUCAGUGCGAGCAACUUCCAGUUUCUUCUCAAUAGUCCUUAACCAAUCAUCAGCAUCCAAUGGAUCAAUAACUUGACUGAAACUGGGAGGUCUGGUUCGCUGAAAAUCUGACAACUUGGAGUAAUGACCAUUCUGAUGUCCAUUCUGCCCAACCAUAACUUGCACACUUUUCAGUAGUUCCAUCAGAUCGUUGUUCCUUCUUUCUUCAAACAUUCACAUGAUUUGCUCAGUAGAAGGCGGAUGUGGUGGUGGAGGCGGAGGUGGCUGAUAUGGCUCGGGAGAAUGUCCUGCAUGUCUUGCGGAGCGACGAACAGGGACAUCCUCACAAGCUUGGCUGCUGCUGCCUCCCCGCGGCAUCCUAUUAUUUAUUUUCCCAGUGCAAAGCAACCGCGAUGAUAAAUAUCCAAAAAUGGGAGGAAAGCCAGUGACAAAACCAGAAGAAAACAACGAAAGAAACCAAGGCGAAUAAAAGAGAGUUCCAACAUAAUUAUACAUAGACUCAACAUGAAAGUUAAACAUCAUGACAGGGUCACUACCCUCAUACAUGAAACUAAGCAUCAUAACACGUGCGUCUACAUCCAUACAUCAUACUCAUGCCGACGGAGAUACUCUAGCGAUCUACUGCUCUGAUGGUGCUGCUGCGGGCUCCUCUCCUGAGCCGGACCCAGAUCCUGAACUGAUAGUGGUGACCUCCGGGUUAAGAGAGACGCGACGACGCUGCCUCGAGGACUCUCCCUCAGGGGCAGGUGCGGGAUGAGAUCUAAGCAUAGGAGCUGCAAGAGUAGCGACAAGGGAAGCCCACGCAGCAAGAGCACUGCGAGGGGUUACUGCCAAAGGGGUAGUGGUACUCUGAGUGGUGGCAGAGGCUGGAGGAACGUAUGGAGUGAAACCGACAGUAGGGAGAGGGUUCCUAUUACGAGCAGCGGCGAGAGCUAUCCGGGCGCGGGUUAGCUCCCGAGCUAGCUCGUAGUUCAGGAGAUAACUGGCAGUGAUAUAACGGGAAGGUGGCUAGUAGGACGAUCUCACGCCGGAUUAAUCAAAGGAAAGCGGAUACGUCCAUUCUCGUGCAGAGAUGGGUAGUAAAAGAAACCUGGGUGGGUGUGCAUGCGAACCUUGUUGUAGCGCAAGUCUACAAGAGCUUCGAUUGCAGCAAACUGGACCGCCUGAGACGGCGUAGAAGCGAGACCACCCUUAGUAGAAUGAGUGUAAGUGCCGGAAGGGGAACUAUUGUGUAGAGUGACCUCAGCAUAAUACUCGUACAAUGCUCCGGCCAGAUUCUCCCGAUACACCUGAUACUCUGGAUCAGCACCCUCUGGAUAGAGUCGUCGCCACACAUUCUGAAGCAGGUGUGGCGAUGUGUACGAAGCUGGCUCAGGAUGGUACAAGAUUGGAACUGGAGCCAUCUACACUCACAACCAUCAUACGGUUAGUAAUAACAACAGAUAACAUGCAUGCAAUGCAACAACCAAUUUCUAUGACUACCGGCACUCAGAUGAAACUAUUUACCAUUCCACUAACGCACUAACGGUCUAGCGUGUCCUACAAUCAGCGCGGCUCUGAUACCAAGCGUUGUGGCACCCAGCUCAGAGCAACCGGUUUACCUUGCAUUGCCGGCCCAGAGAUUAAGUCUUUUGGCAACACACAACAACAUGGUACAGAAACAACCGCUUUAUUGAUGCUAGCGGAUUACACGGGUCUGAUAUUACAUCGAGAUAAGAGGCCAAGCGACACACACGGUGCGGCUGAACAGUAUGUACAUUAUUUAAUGAACAUAAAGGGGCCUCGAUUACACGAACUACGCGGCAGCGGAAGAACGACAAAGUGGAACUCCAUAGCACAGGGACACCGACGUGGACACGGCCUAGACGCGGGAAGCUCUCCGAUGCGAAACGACUUACCUGAAAACUGGCAUGACACGCCAGGUCAGUACAUUGAAUGUACUUGCAAGCUCACAACAAACAUAAGCAUAAUGACAAACAAUAUCAUGACAAUUAAUCAGGUUAAUGCAAUGCAAGUAAUGCUACUAAUGCGGUGAAAAUAACAUGUGCACCAAGUCCCACGGACUCGCUUACCAGACGGGUUACCUCGUAACCAAACGGUGAUCAUACCCGGAUCACAACUGAAACCAAUCACUCAUGAUCUCCAGAAUCAUCAGUGCCAUCAACAGUUAUUUAGUGUGCUAGAUUAAUUAUAAAAGUUGAUCCAUGGUGUGGCUUACUUCCGAGUUGUGCCCAUAACCGAGGACGCGGCUAUCGAUAGAUUUAAUACACUCUGCAGAGGUAGCGCACUUUACCCACACCACGGAAUCCACGGCCUCGCCCUCCCAUUCGGGUGGACCAACGGCACUCCGACGAAACCCUCCCCUUGUCAUGACACUCUCCCGACCACUCCGACAAACUCCCUCUCAGGGCUAUGUCCUGGGUGGCCCCGUGUCUACCAAAGACACCAACGGCCACCGUCGUGGCAAAACGGUCCCAAACGGGGACAAGGUACGAUAAAAGCAAACGGGCACACAAGGUUAUGUCUGCUUACCGGGCCAGGGUAUGCACGCCCAUAACCUUCCCUCGUUGGAGGCACCUGCGAGAGGCACAACAAAGGACCGAAUCAAGACCUCCCACAAGGUAAAUGUGGUCGUACUGAAAGAAACCCGAUUCAGUGGCACCAUGACUUGAUCAACGUCAUAUUGAAGUGGACUUAUUAACAGGUUUAACUUGAAUAAAAAUUUAAACUACCAAGUCAUACGAUGCCAUGAUCAUGCAACUAACCAACAUGCAAAGCAUACAACUCCCAUGUACGGAUCAAACUUAUCCACAUAACUUGCUUGCACUACUCAUGAUUAAACUUUACUGGUUCUCCCUCAACUUUUAUUAUCAUGCAAUAUUUUUAUUAACUCAUAAUUUAUAUGUAGAUAUCACUUACCAAAAGAACUAUCAUUAUUUAUCAUAGCAAUAUAACUAAGGCAGAAUUUUAUUCUACUAGACCAAACUACUCCAUGCAUUCACCCAGUAACUUAAACAAGCAUUUCAUGCAUGACAAAGUAACUAGCAAGCAACCAUAUAUUUUUAACAAAUUUUUAAAUGCAUAUAAGAACUCAUAUUUAAGUAGAAACAAUCAUAGAUAUUGAAAUGACACCAUCCAAAUUCUGGUGUCGCUUGCCUUAGUGCAGAGGAGGGUCACACUCCUCCUGGUUGUCUUCAAGGCAAGUUCCUUCUUCUGAAAAUAUUUAAAGACCACAAAACAAAAUAUCAAAAACCAUUCUGAAAAUCACCAGAAAUUCUAGACAUCAAGGAAAAUUUCACAUUUUGGUGUGCUGCUAGAGCUUUCUGAAACAAACAUAAUGCAAAAAGAAUCAACUCAUUUGGACUUAGGGGCUAGGAGUUAUCACUGGUCAAAGUUGUGGUCAAAUAUUUGAAUUAUUUUGAAUAAAUCAGAAAACCUAGGGGGUGACGUCGAUGGCGUAAAGCCAGGAUACGCCUCCCCUCGUACCACUUCGGGUGCGAGUGGUGAGGCUGACACCGGGCCCCACCGGUCAGGAGAGAGAGGGGGAGAGGGGAAACAGAGCGCGGUGGCGCUCCGCCGGAGCCUACGCCGGCGACGAGUGGGUUUUGGGCAAAACUAGAGGGAUAGAAGUGGAGAUGGGGUCAUGGCGCACCUACCCGUACCCGUGGCUUGCCGGGGGAUGGCCGGAGUUGCUCGCAAUCAAGCUCGCAAGCGGCGGUGGCGGACGGGGCUUGCCAGAGAGGAAGAAGGCGACGGCGAGGGGCAACUCCAGGGGCUCAGCUGUGUCCAGGCGACACCAGAGGAUCCCCAACGACGCGCCGGAGAGGUUGAUAGAGCUAGAGGGGCUCUGGAGUGGGGUGGUUGGGCUGUGGGGAUUGCCAGCGAUCUCUGGUCGAGGUCGACGACCAGAGGCCUGCCCGACCGGGCUACGGGUCCUCUACGCGGUUGUGGUGGUUGUGUGGUGCGGUGUGAGGCUUCGAAGCGGAGGGAAUGGCUCUAUUUAUAGCCGGAGUGAGAGGGGGGUACGUGGCACCGCCGGAGUUCUCUGGAGACCGGCGAACGGCGACGAAAGGCACCAGAGGGAGGGGGAAAGGGCUCAGUGUGUAGGCGGGAGCUGUCCACGCUCGCGGACGAGCACAGGAGGCAGGGGAGAAGAAGACAAGGGCACGAGCGCACUGUGGCUUUUGGCCGCGACGUGCCCGUGCUCGCUGCGGCGUCUCCGGCAUCGGCGAGCGCCAGAGAGGGGUCAAAGGUGAUGAGUCGAGGCUGGUGGCGCGACGCGGCAGUCGUCGGCGAGCUCUGGCUCGAGCACGCGCCGAACAGAGGCGUUGGCGCUACUCAAAGCGCGUCGAGCACAUGCCAGACCUCGUGUCCACACACGGUCACCACCCUGGCAUGUUCAAAACGACGCCCACGAUCGGCCAAACCUUGUCUGGGCUAAAGUCCAUGCAGUGAUGGGUCUAGGGAAGCUGAGGACUCAAUGCCAGGCCGACGAGAUGUGACUCAACCAUCUUGGCAAGUUUCUGGACAGAAACUUGGCUGCUAUGUUUGGAUAGCUUCUAGAUGGCCAUUAGGGCUGAUCUCCUGGGGUUAAGGGUUACUUAGGAGGGUGAAGAGGCUCAAGAAAAAUCAGGGCCAAAGGAUUAAGGAAAAAUGCACUUGUUGUUCAAAGUGAAAUUUUGGGCCAGAAGAGAAAUUAUUUUCUGUAGAAAAAAUACUACAAAAAGUCAUGCAAUAUUUUUGCUUGGGAAGGUGGGCCAUGGUUCAAAGAAAAUUUAGGAAUUAUUUCAGAUUUUUAGGAGCAAUAAAAAUGGGGGUUGCUUUGGAGCACAAGUUUCUGAAAUGAGUUUCAAAGGAGAAAAUGAAUAUUUUCCUUUUAUGAAAAAUAUCCAUUUGAUUGUUUUGAGGAUUUUUCAGAGAACUAAGGUUGAAGGAGAAGUAGAUAGGUCACUUGGGUGAAAGUCAAGGGUAUGCCCAAGUGACAUGUCCAUUUGAAUUGAUUCCAAAUACUCAAAUCCAAGGCAAAGGCAAAACCAUGUCCGGAAAAAGAGAGAAGGCAAAAUCCAUGUGCGUGGCGGCACGCCAUGCAUGCUAGGCUAUUUUUCGGGGCCAGAUUUGGCCUAUUGGGUUGUUCUUUAGGCCAUAUAUAAAAAAUCUAAAUAAAAAUAAAAUAAAUAUAGGGGGUCGUGUCACGCCGGCCCGUUGGACCCAGCCUCCAGGCCGAGGCACGACCCCUGGCAUGCCGCGUGCCUGGCACGACCUGUUUAGCCCGUGUCAUGUUGUGUCUUGGCCAUGCGGGACGUGCUACCAGGCUGGCCCAGCUAUCCCGACCCGUUUGGCUAGCUUUGCAUGAGACAGUAGCUAAAUUGCCUAUGGUACAAGCAGUUCCUGUUUAUUCUAUGUCAUGUUUUAAACUUCCCAGGGUUUAUGUGAACAGUUGAACAUGUUGAUCUAGAAAUUUUGGUGGAGAAGUAAGGAGGGCCAUAGAAAACCCAACUGGGUUUCUUGGGAUACUCUGACAUGGCCCAAGUACAUGGGAGGUUUGGACUUCAAGGAUUUUGAUUUGUUCAAUUUGGCUUUGCUAGCAAAAGAGGCGUGGAGUGUAGUACAAAUGCCAGAUUCUCUCAGCACAAGAAUUUUAAAGGCUGCCUAUUUUCCUUGUUCAAUUCUUGAUGCAAACCUCGGUAACCAUCCUAGUCAGAUCUGGAGAGGGGCAUGAUGUUCUAAAAUAGGGAUUGAUUAGGAGAAUUGGCAACGGAGCAUCAACUAAUAUAUGGAGUGCCAAAUGGACGUACAUGGGAGGUUUGGACUUCAAGGAUUUUGAUUUGUUUAAUUUGGCUUUGCUAGCGAAAGAGGCGUGGAGUGUAGUACAAAUGCCAGAUUCUCUCAGCACAAGAAUUUUAAAGGCUGCCUAUUUUCCUUCUUGUUCAAUUCUUGAUGCAAAGCUCGGUAACCAUCCCAGUCAGAUCUGGAGAGGGGCAUGAUGUUCUAAAACAGGGAUUGAUUAGGAGAAUUGGCAACGGAGCAUCAACUAAUAUAUGGAGAGACAAAUGGACUCUGAGUGACGUGUUGAGUACCUUUGGAUGUAUGUCAGGCAAUCCUCCUAUAUAUGUGUCUGAACUCAUUGAUCAAACUUCAGCUAGAUGGGACAAGGAGAAAGUUGCCGAGGUUUGCCUACUGAUCGACGUGCCAGCCAUUCUCAGCAUACCUUUAUGUACAACAAAUAUUGAUCAUAGUUGGUCGUGGAAUUUUGAAAAAAAAGAAAAAAAUAUGUUCGAUCAGUCUAUAAGAUGAUGGUUGCAACCAAAAUGAGAAGAGAAGCAUGGCUAGAUGGUUCCACGGGUUCAUCAAGCAUUGAUAGGGAUGCAACAUCAUGGAAAUUGUUAUGGAAAACACCGGUAUCAUGAAAGAUACCCAUGUUUCUUUGCAGGCUAGCAAAGAACUCGUUACUCACUGAGAAUGUGAGAGCACACAUUAACAUGUCCACAACAAGCUGUUGCGCUUUGUGUGGAGCUGCAGAUUCUUGGAGAUAGUCGCUGCUAGAAUGCAUAAUGGUGAGAUGUGUAUGGGCUCUUGAUGAGGGUGAGCUAGCGGAGCACAUGUGCAAAACAACGGAACUGAAUGCAAAGCAAUUGCUGUUUUCGAUGAUCGACACUCUUUCACAUGAGGCUUUUGUCAAGCUAUUUGUGUCCCUAUGGUGAUAUGGUGGGCAAGGAGACAGGUGAUGCACGAGGAAAUAUAUCAACCCCCUUCGGCUACACAUUAUUUUAUAAACAGGUUCAUUGCUGGACUUGAGAUGGUACCACAAAAACAUACAAUGACUCAGACCAGGCCUAUGAUCACAUGACCCAAGGCACCACCGCAGGGUUUUGCAAAAAAUACAUGUCGACGCUAGCGUGGCAACAUCUAGCUUCGGUGGCUCGGCAGUUGCAGUGUGCAGGGACGCUGGAGGUCUCUAUCUCGGAAGUUCUGCCCUGGUAGUGGAGGGAAUGACUAAUGUUGCAGCAUUAGAAGGAGUACUCCAUUAGAAGCAAUCGCAUGUCGUGAGGCGUUAUCUCUAGCCGAAGAUUAGUUUUUUCCAGAAAUUUGUUGUUGCAUGGGAUUCAAAACAGGUGAUUAAUGAUAUCGAGAAAGGAACUGGUAAGUGGUAACAGUUAUGGAAACAUCAUCAAGGAGGUCAAGCAGCGAGCAACCAGUUUAAUUGUAUUUUCAGCUUUGAAGGCCGAGCGGCGAAUGUAGAUGUAGAUAGACUAGCUAAGUUUUCAAACUUUCUCGAGCAUGGGCCACUUGUGGUUGGGUCACCCCAUGAUGAAUUUUUUUUUUUGAACUGCAGGAUGAAUUUUGUAUUCCACUCCUUGUGGAUUUUGAUCAGUAAAACUAAGCUUUUACCCCUGAAAAAAGCUAAAUUGCCUAAAAAACGAGACAGUAGCUAAAUCUCAAAAAAAAAAGGAGACAGUUUGAAAGAAGAAAUCCUAAUCCCUUCACGUACGGUAGCGGCACGCGCGUUCCUAUGAAAUGCAUAACUUGGCUGUACUACCGCCUCCAUGACUAAAUCGGCCGUAGCGGGACGGAUCGAUGGCGACGAGCGCCGUACGCGCAGACAGCGUGCCGACGACGAUGGACCGGAUUGGCCGCGCCCCGUUGUCACGGGAAUAUUUCCCCUCGCCCUCACCAGUCCCAUCACUCAUCGCCAUCGGCAUGCAUGCAGAUGCAGCGAUCUCGCUGUCCCGUACUCCGGUCUCCCGCCCUCCCCUUUUUCUUUCUUCCCGGCGAGCGCAGCGCAGCCAAUGGAUCAGGAAAAGAGAGGCGGGCGGGAUGGGAUGGGAUGGAGUACACGCCAUGACGAGGCCAUCUCCACCGCGCGAUCCCAAAUGGACGUCUGUUUUGACCGGAUUUUGUCCCUUUAGGGCGCCGAUGGGUUCGCCCGUAUCCGCCUCUGUCCGUUGGAUCGUGUGUGCGUCCACCGCGCGGCCCCAUCCCAAAUCAUGUCCGCGUUGGACAUGAUUUAAAAAUAUAGCAAAACGUAAUAAAAAUGACUUAAAAAGUAAAUAAGCGCAGUUUAAUAAACUUAAAACUUAGUUAGGGGGUCACGGCCACAAAACGUCCCAGUUUCACGUCGAACUUGACAUAAUUAAUAAUAAACAUAAAAAAGAAAAUAAAAAAGGCCGCCGCCAGCGCGCUCCUGCCCGUGCCCGUGGAUGCCGUCGCCGUCGCCAUCUUCAGUGGCCGGCAUCGUCGUCGUCGCUGACGAGGUCCACGUAGGCCGACGGCGUCCAGAGGUGGGCUGGCGGUGCGUGGUAGACGGGGGCGGGCUGGACGGCGGGAGGUGCCUGCACGACCUCCUCCCGUGGCGACGCCUCCCGCUCCGCUGACCGCGGCGGCGUGGGCCGCCAGUUCACGCACCCCAGGGCAUCGGCCAUCUCUUCUGCAGUGCACGACCAGCCCCACCCCUGGCCCACCAGGCCCGGGUGGAACGCGGCCACCGGCUCCUCCUCCAUCGCCUCCUCCCUCCUCUCCUCCUCCUUGACGGCCACCAUUUGCAGCUCGGGGAAGGUGACCUCGCCGGCGGCAGAGAGUGCCAUCGCCUCCUCCAAGCCGUCCCAUUGGCGCUCGUCGUGGGUGUACAUGGAGUCAUCCAUGACAUGUUGCACGAGCCGGGCCUCCUCCUCCGCUGUCAUGCGAGGAGGUGGAGGGGGUGACGGAGACGGGGAAGGCGACGGCGUGGGCGUGAGGCCGCGCACCUCCCGACGUGGCCGCCGUGGCCCCGACACCAUGCCGGCGAAGUAGGACGCGCGGCGCGUGUCGUGCUCGUCCUGGAGCCAUGUGUCCCAGAGCACCGAGUCGGGGGCGUACCUGUCGUCGUAGAACAGGUCAUCGGGGAGGAGGCGGCGGCGGCACUCGAUCUCAUCGCGGCGCGCACGGCCGCUCGCCGGCACCGGCGGGAUCGACACACGGUCGGCGCCGAGGUGCCAUCCAUUGGGGAGGUGGACGUCGCUUCACGGGACCGGCGUCCUCGUAUCCCAGUACCGCCGGCACACGUCCGCCGCGAGGUAGUGCCGGUCGUGCGCGCCGGCGGGCCUAGGGUUGAUGGUGAAGGGGGCCGGCGCGGGGGCUCGACGGGAGGAGCGCGGCGGUGACGCGGGCUCCUCCUUCUUCACGGAGCCGUGGCGGCGCCCCGAGGAGGAGCCGGCCUCACGGUCGUGCUCCCCCUUGCGGUUCCAGAAGCCCAUGGCUUCGAGGUGGCCGGCCGGCGAGCUCGAGGACAAUGGAGGGCUAGGGUUCGGCGCUGUCGGGUUUCGAGGAGGCCGCGGGGUGGCGUGGGGCAGUGUGGACGACGACCGGUCCACGGUUCCCACUUAAAGAAGGACGGCGACCCUUCGAUGUGCGGAUGACAGGUGGGGCCGCCCGCUCGUGCGCACUGAUGUGGGCGGGUGGGAGGUAGGUGACCGCCUGCCACGCGGACCCGACGCGGACGAGGCGCGCGUCCGUUUGGUGUCCGCCGCGACCCAAACCCGGCGCAAGUUUGCGCCCGAAAUGGGUCGGCCCGGACACAAAACGGACAAGAUGGGUCCGGGCCGUCGCGCACUGGGCCGCCUUGUUUGUCCUUUUUAUUCCAAACGGACGGGGCCGGACAGGAUAGGGUCACGCGGUGGAGUUGGCCUGACUGCCGGGUCAAACGUUCGUCAGUUAGGUGGACCACCAACCAAACCCCACGCGCACGCGGCGCCACUCCCCGGAGUCUCCCCGCUGCACUCGCUCGCUUGGAUGGAUCACCUUGCGCCGCGGCCACAAGGGAGCCGGACAAGAAGUUGAUGCACCACUAGGACUAGCUAGUGUCGGCUUGCAAGCACAAGAGCUUCUCCCGCUCCUGCCUUCUAGGCUUUUUGUUGCUCCGCUGAAAGGUGAGGUCACUUGUCAUCUACAGCCCGGGCUACCGAUAGAUCGGGGAACGAGUGCGCGUGGAAGGCAGGAAGUCAAUGUGGCGCCAGGCCAAAGCCCUCAACUUUUUCAGCAAAGGUAGAGCUAACUACUACAAUGAAUCCACCCGACGCAUAUUACACCGGCCAGAGGAUCGUCAAAAUAAUGCUCGUGAAAACAAAAUGAGAUUAGAUGCAGAAGUCGCACAUGCAUGAUGCACACAAAGAAAUUUCAACUCUCGUGGAGAAACACACGCGUUCGGAACAGAUUUCUACAACCUACACCAAGUGUAAAGUGUAAACGCUAGCGCAAGCUAGCUAUAGCUGUACAUGGAUCGAAGUCUAGGCUAUGCGAUGCCCUAGGACGGACGCCCGUUUCUACCAUUGGCAACGGGCGAGCAGAGCAGCAUCUCUGGAUACGUGAUCCUACAUACAAAGUCAAAGCCGGGCGGCAGCUCAAGGAGAAGAACAUGUGAAGAGACAGCAGCAGUAUCUCGAUCGUACCCAUUAAACAAACCCUAAGCCUUAACUAGUAAUCAAUGGCGAUCCACGUUUCGUGCUGCGUAUGCUACGUACGGCGGCUUUCUAUAUUUCUCGUCAUACGCACACUUGGUCGGAGCGAGGCUGUGAAUCCCGACGACGGCAAAUUCCUGGGUGCUCGCGUCGCGUGCUUGCCCCGCCCCGCCCGUGUAUUUGUCCUGUCCACCACCUGCACAUCGCUACAAUUCUGGGCUAGCAGGAGUAGUAUUUUUUGGAUAUUUUCGAUCGGGAAUCAAAUUAGGAGGCCUUACACGCAAGAGGAAGCAAGAUCAAUUUGGGUAAGUUAAGUGGCUUGACCGGUCAAAAAGAUCAUACCACAUGCAUGCCUUGCCUGCUACAGGGGAGAGGCGCGAAAAGGAAGCCAUGAAACAGUGGUGAGUCGUGGUGGAUGCCAAAAGGGUUAUGGACAAGGCCACAAGGGAUGUGAUCGAUGCAGCAAAAACGUACGCCAGGGGAGACAAAUACUUAUAUUCCGAGCAGUGGUUGUUAGGGAACAAGCAAGUACAAAUAGUAGUGUAUGUACAAGAAAAGCUAGCUGUAUAACACCAUCAUACUGAUACAGAAAACAGCAUAAUGAAAAGAGACAAAAAAUAAAGUUUAAUAUAAAACUCUUAAGAGGUGACAAAAAAUGAGAACAAGUUUAUGUCAGCUACAAAUAAUGAAUGAUUCUGGCUCCUACUGAAGGAAAAACUAUUCUCAAGUCCUCAACAGCUAGUGCUUCCUGCUCAAUCAUACAAGUUGAGUGACUUGAGUCCCCAGCAGAGAACAAAGCGCAAGCGCAGCUAGCUGCAGGGGCUGGUGGUCCAUUGGUGAGCAGUGAAGAGCCUCAAGCCUACACGCUAAAGAAGGAAAAGGCACCUAAAAGACAAAAGCUACUGCGUGCAUAAUGGUUGCUCAAUGAUUCCUGCAAGGACGAACAUCUCCAGUUUGCACUGUAAAGCAAAUCUAUUCAUGAUCGACUGCCCUGCAGAUCCUCUAUGAUUACUGACAACUAAUUGAGAUCAAAUGAGAUGGACAAACCAGUAGUAUAGAUUAUGUAUCUAUCUGCAUUGCAUUCCAAUAUUAUAUGACAAGAGAAGAGAGACACGAUUCACGUUCUCUUAGAUAACAUAGCUCAUCUUUUCAGGAAGACUAAAUCGCAAAUGCAAAUGCAAGGGUUAGAGUUGAAAGCACUGGCUGUAACAUACAAACACUGCACGUAGCUAGUUAAUCUUCAUGCAUGCUAAAGGAUGAAUUUAAUUACACAUAGUUAUAUAGAAUCUGAAUGGCCAUAUCGAUCUCUCGAUGAUAUAUAACAUCGAUGGAUCGGAUGGCCUUAAAAUUCGCAACGAAACGAGAUACAAAUAGUCUGAAGGUCGAACGAAGCGACCUAGAGCAGCGAGAACAAGGACAGCAAUUAGCAAGGAGAGGAAAGCGGAAACAAGUCGGAACUGAGGGAAAAAAAUUGCCUGGCUUUCCCGCAUGCCAAUACAGAACUCUCCACCAUUUUUCUGAGCUAAGCUUGCAUGGAUGCCUCCAUGCCUUUGCCCUGCGGAAGAACCGAGACGACGACGGAGACGAAGACGAAGACGGGGACGAAGAGGUCACCGGAGCGGCGUCCGCGGCAUGCGGAACGACCAGCCAUGGUGGAGAGGGGAUGGCGGGGGCUUGAAGGGGAUGGUGGCAUUGACAUCCUCUUCGUCCUUCUUCAUGUCCCGCGAUGAGCUGAGCUGCUAGCUAGUAGCACAAACAAAACACAAGCGUAAGAGAGAGGGAAGAGGGGCAGGUUCCUUUGGGCUACUAUAUGCAAAACGCAGAGGAUUAGAAUAGCAGAGGUUUUUAAAC